GAUGCCACACACUCAGAUGUGUGUUCAUCUCCAGAUACUACUCCAUGCUACCUGCCCUUUGUGUUUUGUUCAAUAACUGGGUAUCAUAUCCCAGCCAGUAUGCCGUCUGUUUUGUGUUUGUUUCCUUCUAGUUCCAAAGGGGUCAUCAUGAUGUUACCUUCUUUCAAUAUGGUGCUUUGCAUGACUACUGUUGUAUGGUACCAUCUUGUGGCCAAUAAGUACAUCUUAUCCUAUGACCUUUGCUAUGACCCUUUGCAAAUAAGUAGAAGAUUGUUAUAAGCGUCAAUACUCCGUAUAAAUUGAUCGCUGCUGUGAGUUCCCUUUCAGCUUAUCGUAGGCAUACAUUAUUGCUAGCACGGUAAAGCCAACCAACACGAAUGAUGAAGUAAACGUAGCGGUACUUCUGUAUACCAACACCCUUACUUAAAUGUACCGGUGUCAUUCCCUACUGGCACAUAUAUUCUUAUAUGCUAGCCAGCUUGUAAAAUUAACCAAUUAAAAUAAUUAUUUCAAGAUAGAAAUAACUUAUCGGUUUCUGGAAGCAUGUGUAAUGUGAAUUCAAGGACUCGACGGAAGUUGAAUCACUUCAUCUAUAUUGCUUUCAGUAUUUUGGGUAACUAAAUUUAACAUUUGCACAUACAAAUGUUAAAGUACAAAUGUUAAAUCUAGUUACCCAAGCAGAAUAUGAAGAUAGUUUAUAGUAUAUAUAUACUAUAUAAAUCUAGUUAACAUUUAGUCUAAAUGUUAAAUCUAGUUACCUAAAAUCCUGAAAGCAAAAUGUAUAAAUAUAUAUCUUUUAAGGCAGUAUAAGCUUCGAUUCCUAUUGCUGCUCUGUUAAAUCUCAUCUUUCGUUGUGGCCCAACACUCUAGUAUGCAUGUUGCACCAAGCUUCUUUGAGCCGCUCUGCCCUCUGAUUUUGCUGCGUAGGGGAAUCUUUAUCAGGUUGGGCUACUUCCAGUUGUGCGAUGUAAAGAUUCGUAUUUUCUAGAAGGUAGACAAAAAACUCGCGUUCUCUUAAGGCAACAACCGGAAGAUUCUGCAGCGCACAGGGCAUACCAUUAUUGUAGAAACGACCUUUAGUACCGAUCUCCAACCCCCUUUAAAACUGGUUUUGCAACCGGUACCGUUAUGUCGGUCCUUUAGUACCAGAUCAAAUAAGUACCGGUUGGUAACCAGUAUCAACUUGUUUUGCGGCCAAAAAAAUAAAGAAAAAAACAGUCAGAAGGCUCGCGCACACGCGCAUCACAUGAAAUAUGCGUGUGCGGGGUCCAUGGGAUUCGAACCCAUGAAAUCAAGCUGCGCGCGACCCUUCGUUACCAUCUCACCUACAUAGCGCAUAUGCUUUCCUGAAGUAACCCGUGGAGGAGGCUUUAGUACCGGGUCAUAACACCACCCGGUACUAAAAAUGACUCUUCAGUACCGGGUCAUAACACCACCCGAUACUAGUAUCGGAUGGUGUAAUGACCCGAUACUAAAAGGCCUCUAGGGACCCUCAAAUUUGAACCCGGUACUAAUGCUAAUAUUAGUAGCGGGUCAAAGUGCAGCCAGAACUAAAGCAUGGGAUGAAAGGUCAUAUUUCUAGUAGUGUAUAGUUGUUGUGAAGGACUGACUUGGCUGUCCUCUCUCUUCUCCAUCCCCUUGGUCUUACGCCGCCGCUCGCACGCGAGCCGGUGCCCAACCAGAGGAGUGAGAGCUAGGGGCAGGUUGGGAGGUGGGGAUAGUGACUGGUGGCCAGGGUGAUGGUUGAUCCUGGUGGGGUUAGGGUUUUAGGGUUUUCGAGCUUCCUAUGGUCGGCGAACCUAGAGGAGGAGCUCAACAUCAGCUGCAACCCGCGAUGGUGGUGGUUUGGCCGGCGCCCGAGGCGAGGCAGCGCGGGAGUGCUGCCGGUGGGUUGGUGUUGGCACUCAUUAUUGACAACUAUUUUGUUCAUAAAAUAACACUCAAACUUGCUGCUGCUGCUGCUGCUGCCAUCGCCACCCUAGCCAUAAUAUAAAGGCAAAAUUUGCUAAAGGACAUGCAAAAUGAUGCUAGUUUGCUGGCGGGCAUCGUUGACCUUGUAAUAUGCUACAAGACACUCUAGUUGUGUAUCAAUUUGCUGAAAGACAUUGCUAUGACUAAAAUAAUGUUUCUGGACUGAGUUGGAGAGAGAGAUGGAGUGAAAUGUCUGUUUUGCCCAUGACCCCACUGGUCAGAUCCUUCUUCUUCCACCCUCCUUUGUUCUUUCUUCAACCAUUACCCAGCUCCAGCGUGUUGCAGAUCUACGAGGGUGGCGGCCUGGGGCGAGGGGCAUCGCUCGCCCUUGGAGGAGCGCUGCGAGCGACGGCGCGGGGGCGGCAACAGCGCGUCAGAACCUGACUGUUCGUUAGCUCCUCUCGCUGCUGGGGAAGGAGGGGGAUGGGCCAUGGACGGGGUUCCCUUGAAAACCUCAGCGUCGAGCUCGGGCGGCUACGCGCAGGCAGCACUAGGCUGCUUCACGGGGAGGGGGCGCGGCCAAUCAUUGGCACCCCACUGGUCCAAUGCUGAUGAAGAUGGUGCCAGCGUCGUGUGAGGACAUCUCAUCUCCUCGAGUUCCAUGGCCAGCACAGGUGAGCUGCCGCUACCACAAAACAGAGGUUUCGUGAGAGUCAAAAAACCUUAUGAAAAUAGCUAAAACCAUCAUGAAAAUAAUCCGUGACAUGACACUCUCACGAAAAUCCUCUCACAAAUAUGGUGCCAUGAAAAUACCAUUUUCAUGAGAGUGAACUGUCAUGAUUUUAUUUCGUGAGAGUAUUUCCUAUCAAUGACCUCCACGAAAUACUUUGUGCCACCAGGUCUUCAAGAUCAUUUUCAUGAGAGCUGAACAUCAGGAAAAGUCCGCCACAAAUGUUUUUCUUGGAGCCCCUAACUCUCAUGAAAAUCAUGCGGGCCGCCACGAAAAACAGCAUGACCAAAUGACAAAUUUCAUUUUCAUGUGUUCAUACCGCCAUGAAAAUGGUCAUUUUCAUGAGAGUUGAUGAAACAAAAAAUAGUGCCAUUUUCAUGAGAGUUCAAGCAACCAGGAAAAGACACUAAUAAACAUCCAGAUCCCAUCCAGCACACAUCCAUGCACAUAUAUAACCCACAUAUUGCUCCAGCACACAUCCAUGCAUAUACAAGAUCCAAAUGUUAAUAUAGUAGACAUCCAUGCCUGAACUAGUCUGCCACACAAGUCAUUGAUGCUACAAAUCCUACAAUCGCAGCAUGUGCAUACAAGUCACAGAAUGAGACAAUGUACCCAAAACUAAAAGGUUAGCAUCAACUGUGCUUCAACCAAAGUUGUCAUCCCAACUCUCCUCUUCAUCCAUGCCAUUCUUGUCGUGGCCGUCACUGUCAGUCCCCAUGGCAUUGCCAAUGCUGUGCAUGUCUUGGUAGGAACCUACAUGUGAUGAACUAGUAACCUGCAAAAAGAGCUCAAAGGAUCUUGUUCUCAUAUUGUAGCUGUGAAAUUCUUACAAGUAGUGUUGCAAUCAGUUCACUUUGAACCAAAAGAGCUCAAAGGAUCUUGUCCUAAAAGUUCCUCAUAAAGCUUAUGGGUUUGCUGGUGGAACUGGAAGGGCUUGAUGCAGCAGAUGCCAUUCUGCAAUAGAGAAAAAUUUAGAGAGCAGUACUAGUUAAAAUUGGAUGCAGAAGAUACACAUGAAACUAGUAUUUAUACAAGUCUAUACAAUUAAAAUCUAAGGAGACUUAUCAUCGUUUUCAUGUGUUGUGAAUUAAAAUAAUGAAGGAUACACUGUUAGGUGAAAAUUCAAGAAACAAAAUUUUGCAUAGAGAUAAAGGUCCAACAUUAUUACAAGUUAAGGUAGUUUUAAAUAUCCUUGUAAUCUUCCUUUGGUUUCCUCAACGAUUCGAAGACAAUAACCUUGCUUCUAUCAAUGAUAAUUAUAAGGAGAAUCCAGUGGAAACUGUGUAUUCGUAUUAGAACUACCUAAGGUUAAUUAGGUUAGGAAAGGAAAUUGAAAAUAGAUGGUACCCACACUUACUUAAAGUUGUCGGGCAAUAGUAUGUAAUGCUUGUAAUUCCGUUGCUCCAAGAAUUUGUAUAUGUGGUCCAAUGUAGACUUUGGUUGAUCCCGUAUCUGCUGUUGGUUAAAUAAGUGUUUCUAGCCAUUUCUAGCCAUUAGAACCGGGACUAAAGGGGGCUCUUUAGUACGGGUUGAUAUUACUAACCGGGAUUAAAGAGCCCCCAUUAGAGUUGGUUUUUGGAUGCGGAACUAACAACUCCUUUAGUCCUGAGUACGAAAACAACUGACAUAUUUGUUGCUGGAUGGAAGGUCCUUUCUCUACCGUGAAUAUUGCCAGAAAGAAUUGAAAGAGACUGCUUGCUAAAAAUAUGUCAUAGAUGUAGACCAAGCUACCAAGGAGGUAGACCAAACAUGAUACACACCAUGCGUACCUUGCUGUGCAGACUAUGCAUUGACAAGAUACCCGACCACAUGUUGGCCUCGGUCACAUCAAAAGAAUCAUGUAGGCCACCAAUAAACUACUUGAAGCGGCAUUCCGUAUCGUAUAUGCAUUGCCGGUUCAUCUGCAUUACAUUACAUAAAGCACUAUUAACUAUUUGAAUAAAAUGAACCAAUUUAAAAGUAAUGUGUUGUACUCUACUAUAGAAAGCCCUAUCACUGCCGGAUCCAAAAACAUCAUUGUUAAUGGUGGUUAAGUACCAAAUAUGACGGUCAAUAUUCUCAAGAAUAAUGGAGAAUUAGCAUUUCUUAGACACAUAUUUGGUUUUGAACAAUGUAGUUCCACAUGUCUUUGGAGAUUAUUUGGGUGUGGGUGAAAUAAUACAAAAAUAAGGAGAAAACACACUCCCAUGGCGAAGAAACACAACUCCAACCAAUGAGAGAUAGCCACAGGGGCAGCACACGGAUCCAUGGGCCCACUAACCGCAUCAAACCAUCUUACCAAGGCAGGUAGCACCCACAACCGUCAUUAGGACCCACCUGGAAGUCUACCAAGAAGAAGGUUGCGAGUGGGGCCAGGAGGGGUUCGGUUGAAUCAUCUCUAGCUAGCUCCCCUCAUCCCCAGCUGGUGGGUGGUGGUGGUUGAUGGUGUCCCUACAUCAGUUAGAGGAGAUUCCCCCAAAUAUUCCUCCUGUAAACCACCUCUAUGGACCUAUACAUAGAGGGGUGUGCUCUCCAUUCCAACACACACCACAAGUUGAAUCACUCUCUCCCUCUUUAGUUUCCAAGUUUAUGGAGUUAGGCUAGAGUAGCUCUGCUCAAGGUUCCAAGUCCACUUGGAGUUAAGCAUAUGUCUCUUGUAUCGUUAUUUCCUAAAUUGACUUUAUGCUUAGUUCUUAUAUGCAUGAGUUAGUCUAAUACCCUUGCUAUAUUGAUAUGCUCGGCUUAUAUGCUCGUAUGCUAGUCAUAUACCCUUGCUGUCGUAGUAUAGGCUUAUAUGCUCUCAUGUGUGCCUGUAGACCUUGCUAUAGUAUAUACUUGUUGUGCAUACAUACCAUGUAUAGGCUAGUCGAUCUAUACCAUGGCAUUGGUUCAAUAGCCAUGUUUUUGGUGGCUCCAACCCUAGUCACAAUAGCUCGGGACAGCUGGAGUGUUGUUAAAAAUGCAAGAGUGGUGCUUGGGUUGUUUAGCAUCGUUGGAUAUGGGUUUGCCCCACGGGUUUCUAACGGUAGGCGGCAGCUAGUGACAUCCCUGUCCGUCCUUCGUAAUCCCCCCACAUUCAGGUACGCCAUAAAUGUUCGUAAAUUAGCAGUAACUACGCCGGUACACCUGUAGGGUAUUGUCUCCCUGUAGUACCUUGGUGCAUAGAACUAAGUCCUAUACACUGUGUGUGUAUGUUUACGCUGAUAUGAUCUGUGCAGUAUAUAGGAUGUAUAUAUGAACCUAGAGCUAACUCCUAGUCCGUUCUCCAUAGCUUAGUUAUCUUGAGAUGAUUCUUCUGUAUGUGUAACACUACCCAUCUUAUCAUUAUCCUUGAUCCUGUCUUGUGUAAUAUAUCUACUCAUCCUAUGAUAUACUCAUAUGCAUAGUAAACUAUUUUGACCUACCCGCCUUCCUUUGGGAAAUAUGAUACCUUGGAAUAAUCCUAGGUGAAAUCCUACAACGGUAUAUCCAUGUAAAUGCGGAUUUAUUCAUGACCAUUAAAUAUACCAACAAUCAUCACUGUGAGUUUUGGGCGUCGUUAGUGAAGGGUUGGUAGUGAUGGGCAUCCCCUUCACCAAUGGACCUGGAACCGGCGGUGAUGGCUAUUAUAAAAAAGGGGACACCACCCAGCGUACCCCACGACCCGGCCGGCCGCACCUCCCAUCAUCCCCGCCAGCCGCCCUUCCUUUUCGCCGGCCGAGCAUGGUCCCGGCCUUUGUCCCUACCACCUCGCCUCCACCGCGACCCCCCGCCGAUGCCCUCGUGCCUGGCCCCCCUCAUCUUGCCGGCCACCCUCCCGAUGCGUCCACUGGGGCCCUCGCACCACCAACCGCCCUUGCUUAGAGAGGGAGAGAGAGGAGGGAGGUGAGGCCACGCACCUCGUCCUACACCGCCGCUGUUUCUCCUCGGCCCACCGCGCCUCACCCCACACCACAGCCGCGCCUUGCCAUCUUACCGGCUGUGACGCCUCAUCUCACCGGCCACCGUUCCUCACCCCCACUUCGGUCGUCGCCGCUCCUUGCCCUACCGCUGCUCUUUGCCGCUGCGAAUGAGCGCCGAGUGGAGGAGGAGGGAUGGGGCAGGAGGAGGGCAAGAUCCGGGAGGAAGGGAGAGAUCUCGGGAGGUGGAGAUGGAAGGAUAUGGCGGAAGGGAGAGAUCCAGAGGGAGAGAGCAGGGGAGAGAGGGGGGCGUGUGGGGAGAGAGCGCGUGUGGGGUGGGGCCGGGCUGGUGGGAUGGAAGGGAGAGGGGCUAGACGGGCGCAGUGCAUUCAACUGGAUGAAGUAAAUAUUUUGGAUUCGAGACCCCAGCUUUAUUAUCACCGCUGGUCCGUAGUACCAUCCGGUGCCUGCUCGUAAUUUAAUUUGAAUCUGCGGUGAUGUUUUAUUAUCACCAUCGGAUCAUAUAAAAAUCCGGCGGUUAAAAAUCCGCUGGUUUCGAUGAAAACCGACGGUGAUAGGAUGACUGUGAUAGUCUCUUCUCUAGUAGUGGUAUAUUAGUACCGGCUGCCGGAUGGUGUUGCCGACCAGUACUUCUCCGGGGGCGAUUCAGUACUGCUGUUAGCAAAGCUUGUUCUCUAUGAAUUUGGGGAUGGAAAGCUAGUUCUCUAGUUGUGAUUUGUUACAUAUAUAUCUAUGAUAGUCUAGAAAUUGCAUGUCCUUCGUUGACAUAGUUGAAGCUGCUUCAAGAAUUUACUUCGUGCAGUCGUGCAGCAUAUUGGAUUAUCACCUAGACAGGAUACAUAGGUGAAGCAUUGGAUGUGAUUGUGGCCGAUAAUUAUGCAGGACGCUGUUGCAAUCAACCACCAAGAAGUCUGGAGUGAUGGGGUUGCCUCAUCAAUAAUUUUUAUAUAUGGCUGCAGUAUUAUUAAGCCCACGUCAAUAAUUUUUUGUCCGCACCAUAUAUCGAUGGGGUUGCCUCAUCAAUAAUUCGCGCAACCAGACAAGCUGCAGACUCAAUAUGGUACGAAGCUAGUUGCUCAGCCCACAUGCUCUGAUAUAACAUUGACAUCUGCUGAUCUACAGUAUAUAUGACCAGAAAUAUUGUGCCCACCUCAAUAACUUUCUGAAGUAUCGUGGGGAAGAACCUACGCGUACUAUGCCUCGGAACUAACUGACAUAUCGGCCCAGGCGGUCUAGGCCGAUUGGACUGGCUCUUCCUUGUGGCUUCUCACAUCCCCUUCGUCCCCAAGUAAUUUCAGGUGUUCUGUAGUUUUCUUUUCACUUGCAUCUGAGCCUCCUAUAUCAAUAGCUUCGGGAUAAGAAUGCCUCUUGAUAACCUUCCAAAUCCUCGCUUGAUUCACAUUGAUUCCGAAAUCAUCUUGCCAUAUCUUCAGAGACUUAGGUCCUAAGGCAUCAUGGAGGAUUGCUCGCCAAGAAUGAGCACCAUUGGGCUCCUGAGGACCCUAGGCCGAUCAGCCCGGGCUCUAUAGGUCGAUUGGCCCAGGCCCUCUCUGGGCCUGUUGGCCUUCAUCUUUCUUUGAGUCGACGCUUAUUCAGGGCUUUGUCCAAUUAUAGUCCAUUAUAGUCUAAUUUCCUAAAAAACAGAAUGUCCUCCAAAAUACAAUGCAUAUGUGAAAACAACCCAAUUAUUAGGUAUGAUCAAUAGUUUAGGUAUUAAAUUAAUAUUAUUAUUUAAGAUAAACAGGGGUAAAGGGUGUCAUUAAUAACAAGCGCCAACAAGCGUCCUAGCUGUUCAAUAAAUUUUUUCUAGUACCGAUUGGUAACACUAACCGGUGCUAAUAUGUACCCUUUAUUACCGGUUAUUUUACCAGGUACUAAAGGAGACAAGAGCAUCCUAACAUAAGGUUAAUAUCAUCCAUUUCAUGAGUAAAAUACUAUGAUUCAAAAAUAAUUCAAAUCCCUUAAGACAAUACCUAUCAAAUGAGUAAAUUGUAAAUAGAGUAAUCUUGAUCAAACAAUGUCCUAAUGAAACGGAACACUUCUGGUUCGUGUAGAGCACAAUAUAGAAAACAGUAGGGUAGCUGUAUGAUUGACACGUGGUCCAUUAAUUAUUGAGCCAACACUAUGGACAUGUCUUCAUGAGUAGUGUACUAGUCAUAAUACAUGGUAUGCAGUAGGUGGAGGUAUUGACUUAGCCAUGCUAUGAGCACUUAGUUACAACAAACACUUUGCCAUUAUCGAGCAUCCCAAAUCACUACAAAAUCCAUAGUUUACCAUAUACUACAAAAUCUGAGUUAAAAUAAGAGCAUACACGGAAGAGUCCGAAUGCACGGCACAUUGAAUUACUAGACAAAAUUUAUGGGACAAGGUUUUGGGUAACCGCAUGAAAAAUAUUGGAUUUUACUGAACACUUAGUUACAAUUACCAUGCCCGUGAGCACUUAGUCACCACAAACAUUUAACCACUUUAGAUCAUCCUGAAUCCCUAUAAAUUCUAUACCUUACACCGUACCAUGAAAACGACAAGAACAGAGACAGAUGCGGUGAAAAUCUCCAGAGCAAGCCUGAAAUUAAAAUAAGAGGAGGCAGUCACUAUCGACAGGACACGGAGAUUGCUAGCCAUGACAGAGGAAGACAUGAUAUGAUAUUCACCUCUGAAAUGCAGCGUAGACUAAAUGAAGCACAAUUGCAAGUGAGUGUGGCAGAUAAUGGACCAUCGAGACCAUCGAAUGGUAUGAAGCAUGAUUAUCACCUAGACAUGAUAUCCUAGACAGGACGGUGAAUUGUAAAAAGAGUAAUCUUGAUCAAAGAAUGUCCUAAUGAAACGGAACAUUUUUGGUACGUGUAGAGCAAAAUAUAGAAAACAGUAGAGUAGUUGUACGAUUGAAACUGCAUCCAUCGACGUGGUGCAUGAAUUGUUGAGCCAACACUGUGGACAUGUCUUCAUGAACACCAUCUAGUGAGGACAGCAUGCAGAAAAAUAUAAAAACAUGUCAUAGGGAGGCAGACCAAUCUUGCGAGGUAGACGAAACGUGAUACACGAUCUGCCUACCUUGUCGUGUGGAUACCCCAAGUGAAGAUGUCAUAGAGGUGCAGACCAAGCUAGCAAGGAGGUAGAUGAAACGUGAUACACGGCCUGCCUACCUUGCCGUGGAUAUUAGUCCUGAUAUCAUUCUAUUGUUCAAGGAAUAACACUCAAUGCUGCUGCUGCUGCUGACCUGGCUCCAUAAAGUUAUAUUCCUCUAGCCGCUUGCACUAACUUUAUCUGAAGUAUUAUUCUCUCUGCACUGUAUAUAUGGUUACGGAGUUUGCUGGAGUAUCCGGGGGGAAGAACCUACAUAAUAUGUCUUGGAACUAACUGACAUUGAUUCACAGACAAGGUGCUGUUGUUGACAUGGUACAGUAAAUAAUAUAGUUUACCAUAUACCGUAUACCAUUAUAUGUUAGCUAAAAUAAGAGCAUAACAUGUCGCAGGAGUCCAAAAGCACCGGUUGAGGACCAGGUACAUUAAAUUACUAGAAAACAAAAGGGGACAAGGUUUAGGUAGCCACAUGAAAAACAUUUGAAUUUACUGUACCAUGAACACUUAGUUACCAUGCCGGGAGCACCUAGUUAACACUAACAUUUAGCCACUUUAGAUCAUCCCGAAACACCAAUGACCCUCAAUAGCGACAAAUUUUGGUUUAAAUGCCGUCACCAAUGAUCCUCAAUAGUGACGUGUUUAGGUUUAAAUCCCAUCACUAAUAACCCUUGGUAGUGACGUGUUUUGGUUUAAAUCUCAUCACCACUGAUCCUCACUAGUGACGUGUUUUUAGCAACACACGUUAUGAAUGACUUGUCAUUGGUGACAUGUUAAACGCGUUAUCUCAAUGGCAAAUCAAUGGUGACGUGUUUAAAAAAACAUGUCACUGUGAGAGUUAUUGGUGAAGGGUAAUUAAAAUGCAUCACUAAUUUUGUAGCAUUAGUUAUGAUAUAAUUUUGUAACGCAAAAAUCUACCAUAGUAAUGAGGUUUAGAGCCAUCACUAAUGUGGGUUUCUUAUCGUAGUGAUGCAAGCUCUACAAGGUGCUGUUGUUGCCAUUUUAAAGCAUCCCAAAUGACUACAAGAGUCCGGUUGAGGACUAAACAAAUUGAAUUACUAGAACCAAAUGUAUGUCCAGAACAAAGAAAGGGGUCAAGGUUUGGGUAACCGCAUUAAAAACAUUGAAUUUUACUGUACCAUGAACACUUAGUUACCAUUACCAUGCCUUGAGCACCUAGUUACCACAAACAUUAAUUUAGCCACUUUAGAGGUUCCACAAUCACUAUAAAUAAUAUACCAACACCGUACCAUGAAAACAUCAAGAAGAGAGACGGGUACAUGGACCACCAUCAAGUGAGUAGUGACAGCACGCACAAGAAUACCCGGAACCUUUUAGCUUGUCUGUAGUGAUCUGUUUUCUUCGCCACAAAUAAUGAAAGAGGCUGACCAAGCUAGCAACGAGGUAGAGCAAACGUGAUACACGUAGGUUUCAUUCAAGACAUCCAUGUAAGAUUCAUUCAAAACAUUCAUGGAAAUUUCUUGUAAGUUUUCAUGUAAAUUUCAUUCAAGACAUUUGUUAGAGGUGUUGUAUAUACACUUAACGUACAUAUAUCUAUGAUUUCAUGGUUGUUAGUGAUGGCAGAUGAGGAGCAUGCAAGGUGUUUAAUGGAGCAGAUUAUUGCUAGUGGUAGUGGCUCCAACCUGCCCGUAACGUACACCGACGAAGAGGGCAGCCAGGCGGACAUGUUCCUCAACAUGUCCGGUGAUGGCAAUGAAGAGCCCGAGCAAAACCUUGCCGUGACGGAAGGUUCCAUCGAGGUAUAUAUCAUUUCCAUUAUUUUACCCCAUCUAUAAUUUCAUAUUCAUUAUUACUAUGUGCUAAUUAAUGAAUCUUGAACCGUUAGUCCUCUAGAUCAACGAACCGAAAUAAGCCCCGAGGUCUUACAAAGAUAAUGCAGGGAAGGCUUCACAUCAUGGAAGUCACAGAAGAGGGCACAUCGGUUGCUCCCGAACAUGUGGCAAGAAAGUACGUGAGUCAAACCGGGGCAAUCGUAAGGGACAACAUGCCCAUCAGCAUCAGGGAAUGAAAGAGCAAUAGAAAUGAUCUAUACGCACCCCCGGAUACACAAAAGGAUAUGUUGUGGGCAAAUAUCAAGAAACACUUCACAUUUCCCAAAGGAUAUGUUGAAAAAUAUGUGAAAGCGUGGAUGUUGAAGAAGAUGGCCACCCAAUUCCAGACAUUCAAGAAGAUGUUGGAUGCCAACUUCAUCAAGAAGGGUCGAACUCCGGGUUUCAAUGAGUGGCCAAAGUUAAGGGACCACUGGGAGUCGUUUGUCGAAUACAAGACGAGCGAAGGUGGUGCGAGUAAGGUUCACAUCAAUGUUGCCAAUGCUAGCAAGGAGUACCAUCAUCAUCUAGGGCGACGUGGUUACAGCUCUGCAAUUCCCAGAUGGCGCAAGAUGGAACAAGACCUGAUCGAUCGGGGUAUCGUACCAGCAACUCUUGACUGGAUCGAUUGAAAAAUUGGUAUUAUGCUCAUGAAGGCAAUCUGAGCCAAGAGGAUCCGACAUUGGUCUUCAAUAAAACAAUACGUCAGAAGGUCGGAAGGCUUAUUAGGAACAUUGAAGAUGCUAAAGCUGGGAGGUUCAAGGUGGAUAGAGAGAAUGAUGAACUCACAUUGGCCCUCGGGACUGUCAUCUCUAGCACUUCCAGCUCCAGGACUAUCGUCACCACCGGGACCGUCGCUUCCUGCUCGAUCACAGUCUCCAUCUCCAGCACAUCCUGGUGGUGCGAGCGACGACGACAACAACACCCCUCCCUGCCCACCAUUGCCGGGACUAAGACCCGCAUUGAGUAAGGAACCUGCAACACCACUGAAGAAGUCGCGACCACCACCUUCAAGGCAAGUCAGCAAAAGAAGAAAGCAGAGAAGCCUAAACCCACUGAGAAGCCAGCGACUGAUAUGACCGAUGCGGAAAGAUGGAAGGCACUCAAAGAAGAAUGCAGGGAGUGGUUCAGCGAAGGCGAAGGUGAGAAAGUCGUAUGAAUCGAAUUCAAGGAUAUAUAUGAAGUGAACCAUCAGGAUGCCCUUGAUGUCUCUCUCAUCAGCGCCUAGGUUCUGUAAGUGUAUGUUUAUCUAUAAGUAAAUUUUGGCUCAUAUCAUUAUUUUUUUUGCGUGCGUCACCCUACUAACUUCGUCUUCCAUUUUAUGUAGGAUGCUAAUUCAGACGUGCCGCAUAGAAGCGUACUUCCAUGUUGGAUUCAUGGAUCCAUCCCUAGUUAACCAAAAGCCGAUACGGAAGUAGCUAGAGAAAACGUUGGAGGUGGUGUACAACCUCCUGGACAAACUAAACUACAGAAUAGGGGCAAUAUGUGAGGGUCUUGUAGGAUUCCUAGUGGACGAGGUGAUAAAUCCAUAAGGAGAAUAUCAUUCCAACGGACGAGCAUUAGACACACUGAGCAACACCUAGAUGGGAGGAUCCUAGGAAUGACCUCGACAGAUUUUGGUAUAAAUAGUAAUUGUGUAAAUACUAGUUUGAUUUGUAUAGGAAUAUACUAAGAAUUGUAUAUAUAGUAAUUGUACAAAUACUAGUUUGAUUUGUAUGAAUACUAGAUUGAUUUUAUUAUAAAAAAGUUUUAAGUCGUACGUGCAUGCGCCUACAAAGGCGCGGAUGCCUUUUAAUCCCAGUCGGAAAAACAAACUGGUACUAAAGGGGCUCGUGCCGCACCUGGCAUGACCACCCCUUUAGUCCCGGUUGAACGACCCAGGACUAAAGAUCUCCGCGUCUCAAAAAUUUUAUCUCGGAUGCUUUUUAGAGAGAUUUGAGGCCUAUCAACCAAGACUAAUAUCGAGUUUUCUACCAGUGAAACUAACUAACGUUCACAUGGUUUUGACAUUCACCUGCCAUUUGGUGUAGACAAGGGCACCCUAACAUAUGGUUAAUAUUAUUCUUGAAAGAAAAUCCUUUGAUUCAAAAUACUUCAAACCUAAUAAUACAAUACUUCUCACAUCUGAAAAAUAUGAGACGGCCCGACAGUAUUCUAAUCGACGCAAUAAUAUUUUGAGGGCAGCACUACUACAGCGACCCUCAUUCGUGCCGGUGCUGGGACUCCUAUCACGACCCUGAUACAAAUGAGGGUACAUUAUUGGUGCCAGUGCUAGAACAGCCACGAAUAACUUGCUAAACGUGCUGUUACACUCACUACAGGGACCAAGAAGGUAGAUAAAUUACACGACAUAGCCUUGGUUGCCGUGGAAGCGCCAAGAAGGGAGACAAAUUACAGGGACCACACCAUCAAGUAGAUAGUGACAAUAUGCAAAAGAAUACCCGCGCCUGUUAGCAUGUGAACUGACCACACCACGAAACGUGAUACACGGCAAGCGUACCAAGGCCUUGCUGUGCAGACUAUGCAUGGACAACACAUGGUACCUGACCGCUUUUGGCCUCAGACACAUCGAAAAACUGCAUCGUUCCACGUUGUACAUCCAUUGCUAGUUUAUCUAUAUUACAUAAUAUAUUAUUAGCUAUUUGAAUAGAAUGAACCAAUUAAAAAAUUGCGUUGUAUUUUUAGUACCGGCUGCAGGAUGGUGUUACCAACCAGUACUAAUUGGCCUGUAGGAGUGAUGGUUAUUAGACUUGGUACUGUUGUUAGCAUCAUUAACCUAAUUGUGCGCCGUAUGAAUUUGGGGAUGCAAAGCUAGCUCUCUAUGAAUGUGAGGGAUGGAAAGCUAGUUCUCUAGUAGUAAUUAUAUAUAUGACAGUCAAGAAAUCGAACACUAUGCUGCUACGAGUCACCAUCAUUUCCUUCAUUGACAAUCUGACAUAGGUGAAGCUGCUUCAAUAAUUUCCUUCGCGCAGUCGUGGAGCUUAUUGGAUUAUCACCAGGACGGGACACGGAAAUGGCCAGCAAUGAAGCUGAUUGCCGUCUGAGGAAGACUACAUACUUACCUAUGAAAUGAAGCGAUUGCAUAGACUAAUGAAGCAUUGCAUAUUUGCAUGUGAGUGUGGCAGAUAAUUCUGCAGGACAUGAUUGCAAUCCACGCACCAUCGAGAAGACUGGGGCGAUGGGGUUGCCUCAUCAAUAAUCACGUGGAUGCAUGCAUGCAUGUUCCCGCAACCGGACAAGGGUCUGAUAUAUGGCUAUAGUAUUACUGAGCCCACAUCAAUAAUUUCCACUGGUGUAUCGUGUGGGAAGAAUCAACAUACUACACCUCGAGUUCUUGGAACUAACUGACGUUCACAUGCAACCUCCACAAGGUGCUGUAUGCUUUUGACAUUCACCUGCCAGUUCGUGUAGAGAAGGACACCCUAACGUAUAGUUAAUAUUAUCCAUUUCAUGAGUAAAAUACUGUGAUUCAAAAAUACUUCAAAUCCCUUGAGACAAUACUUCUCACUUGACUAACCACUAACCAACCCCGAAACCCUAACUCAACUCCGAACCCUAACCCCUAACGGCAUAACCACUCCGUUUUGCCGGCGAGAUGGAGGAACUGGCUGGAAGGUAGAGAGGGCAGCGGUCCAGGGUUGAAAACGACGGGCGAGCGCAGUAACAUGUGGAGGAGGAAGUGCCACGUAUUCGUUCACCGCUAUUGGGCAGCGACACACGACACGCCCAAUAAGAUCUUCGCACGGUAGAAGGACGUCAUGUAUUCAAUAAUGUUAUUGGUCCCCCAUGUGCAGAAGGGCGCGCGCGUAUGGAAUAACAAGUAGGGACACUGCAACUAAUCUACUCUGCUCGUCCAGUCCCUAGCCUAUAAAUAGAUGCCAUGCUAGCUCUUGUUGUGCUCACAAUUAAUCCGAUUACACACGAGCUUCUCUCCCUGGCCAAGACACAACCAUAGUAUGAUGAAGAACAUGGCACUAGCCGGCAAUGGUAUGAAGAAGUUAAUCCUCGCUGUUCUCUUACUGUGUCUAGUUAUAGGGCAGAUACAAGUGGAAGCUAAGAGCUGCUGCCCAUCCACCACUGCAAGAAAUGUCUACAAUACCUGCCGUUUCACGGGUACAUCCCGUCCAACGUGUGCAAAACUGUCAGGCUGCAAAAUUAUCAGCGGGAACAAAUGCAAGCCCCCUAACGACCACCUCACCCUUGACCCGGACACUGGUAAAUAAUAAAUUUAUCUCACUUGAUUUCUUCGUGAUUUGAGUCGUUAAUGUAUUUUCCAUCUGAUGAAACGUAUUGGUUUUGCAUUGAAGAGGAAGUUAAUGUGCUUAACUUCUGCAAGUUGGGGUGUGCGUCGUCUGUGUGCAACAACAUCAACGCUGGUAAGCAACUUUUGCUCAGACAGAGAAAACAAUAAUCAUUAAUUAGCGGCAGCUAGAAUCCUAUAAUCUAAUAUAUAUAUAUAUAUAUAAUUUUAUCAGCUCUGGGAAAUGAAGAGGCGAACGAUGCCGUUGAGAGUUGCGACCAAGCCUGCUCUAGCUUCUGCAGCGUGCAUGUUGGCAGCGCCACCGUGGUUGCUUAAGCAAAUGCAUCCAACUAGAUCGUCCUUGUGCUGAAUAAUUGGAUAUCGUAUCCACUUAAAGCUGCCUUGUGUAGUACGUCUUUGUGUCUCUCUUUAUAUUCCAAUAAGGUCGGUGAUCUUGAUGCCACACACUCAGAUGUGUGUUCAUCUCCAGAUACUACUCCAUGCUACCUGCCCUUUGUGUUUUGUUCAAUAACUGGGUAUCAUAUCCCAGCCAGUAUGCCGUCUGUUUUGUGUUUGUUUCCUUCUAGUUCCAAAGGGGUCAUCAUGAUGUUACCUUCUUUCAAUAUGGUGCUUUGCAUGACUACUGUUGUAUGGUACCAUCUUGUGGCCAAUAAGUACAUCUUAUCCUAUGACCUUUGCUAUGACCCUUUGCAAAUAAGUAGAAGAUUGUUAUAAGCGUCAAUACUCCGUAUAAAUUGAUCGCUGCUGUGAGUUCCCUUUCAGCUUAUCGUAGGCAUACAUUAUUGCUAGCACGGUAAAGCCAACCAACACGAAUGAUGAAGUAAACGUAGCGGUACUUCUGUAUACCAACACCCUUACUUAAAUGUACCGGUGUCAUUCCCUACUGGCACAUAUAUUCUUAUAUGCUAGCCAGCUUGUAAAAUUAACCAAUUAAAAUAAUUAUUUCAAGAUAGAAAUAACUUAUCGGUUUCUGGAAGCAUGUGUAAUGUGAAUUCAAGGACUCGACGGAAGUUGAAUCACUUCAUCUAUAUUGCUUUCAGUAUUUUGGGUAACUAAAUUUAACAUUUGCACAUACAAAUGUUAAAGUACAAAUGUUAAAUCUAGUUACCCAAGCAGAAUAUGAAGAUAGUUUAUAGUAUAUAUAUACUAUAUAAAUCUAGUUAACAUUUAGUCUAAAUGUUAAAUCUAGUUACCUAAAAUCCUGAAAGCAAAAUGUAUAAAUAUAUAUCUUUUAAGGCAGUAUAAGCUUCGAUUCCUAUUGCUGCUCUGUUAAAUCUCAUCUUUCGUUGUGGCCCAACACUCUAGUAUGCAUGUUGCACCAAGCUUCUUUGAGCCGCUCUGCCCUCUGAUUUUGCUGCGUAGGGGAAUCUUUAUCAGGUUGGGCUACUUCCAGUUGUGCGAUGUAAAGAUUCGUAUUUUCUAGAAGGUAGACAAAAAACUCGCGUUCUCUUAAGGCAACAACCGGAAGAUUCUGCAGCGCACAGGGCAUACCAUUAUUGUAGAAACGACCUUUAGUACCGAUCUCCAACCCCCUUUAAAACUGGUUUUGCAACCGGUACCGUUAUGUCGGUCCUUUAGUACCAGAUCAAAUAAGUACCGGUUGGUAACCAGUAUCAACUUGUUUUGCGGCCAAAAAAAUAAAGAAAAAAACAGUCAGAAGGCUCGCACACACGCGCAUCACAUGAAAUAUGCGUGUGCGGGGUCCAUGGGAUUCGAACCCAUGAAAUCAAGCUGCACGCGACCCUUCGUUACCAUCUCACCUACAUAGCGCAUAUGCUUUCCUGAAGUAACCCGUGGAGGAGGCUUUAGUACCGGGUCAUAACACCACCCGGUACUAAAAAUGACUCUUCAGUACCGGGUCAUAACACCACCUGAUACUAGUAUCGGAUGGUGUAAUGACCCGAUACUAAAAGGCCUCUAGGGACCCUCAAAUUUGAACCCGGUACUAAUGCUAAUAUUAGUAGCGGGUCAAAGUGCAGCCAGAACUAAAGCAUGGGAUGAAAGGUCAUAUUUCUAGUAGUGUAUAGUUGUUGUGAAGGACUGACUUGGCUGUCCUCUCUCUUCUCCAUCCCCUUGGUCUUACGCCGCCGCUCGCACGCGAGCCGGUGCCCAACCAGAGGAGUGAGAGCUAGGGGCAGGUUGGGAGGUGGGGAUAGUGACUGGUGGCCAGGGUGAUGGUUGAUCCUGGUGGGGUUAGGGUUUCAGGGUUUUCGAGCUUCCUAUGGUCGGCGAACCUAGAGGAGAAGCUCAACAUCAGCUGCAACCCGCGAUGGUGGUGGUUUGGCCGGCGCCCGAGGCGAGGCAGCGCGGGAGUGCUGCCGGUGGGUUGGUGUUGGCACUCAUUAUUGACAACUAUUUUGUUCAUAAAAUAACACUCAAACUUGCUGCUGCUGCUGCUGCCAUCGCCACCCUAGCCAUAAUAUAAAGGCAAAAUUUGCUAAAGGACAUGCAAAAUGAUGCUAGUUUGCUGGCGGGCAUCGUUGACCUUGUAAUAUGCUACAAGACACUCUAGUUGUGUAUCAAUUUGCUGAAAGACAUUGCUAUGACUAAAAUAAUGUUUCUGGACUGAGUUGGAGAGAGAGAUGGAGUGAAAUGUCUGUUUUGCCCAUGACCCCACUGGUCAGAUCCUUCUUCUUCCACCCUCCUUUGUUCUUUCUUCAACCAUUACCCAGCUCCAGCGUGUUGCAGAUCUACGAGGGUGGCGGCCUGGGGCGAGGGGCAUCGCUCGCCCUUGGAGGAGCGCUGCGAGCGACGGCGCGGGGGCGGCAACAGCGCGUCAGAACCUGACUGUUCGUUAGCUCCUCUCGCUGCUGGGGAAGAAGGAGGGGGAUGGGCCAUGGACGGGGUUCCCUUGAAAACCUCAGCGUCGAGCUCGGGCGGCUACGCGCAGGCAGCACUAGGCUGCUUCACGGGGAGGGGGCGCGGCCAAUCAUUGGCACCCCACUGGUCCAAUGCUGAUGAAGAUGGUGCCAGCGUCGUGUGAGGACAUCUCAUCUCCUCGAGUUCCAUGGCCAGCACAGGUGAGCUGCCGCUACCACAAAACAGAGGUUUCGUGAGAGUCAAAAAACCUUAUGAAAAUAGCUAAAACCAUCAUGAAAAUAAUCCGUGACAUGACACUCUCACGAAAAUCCUCUCACAAAUAUGGUGCCAUGAAAAUACCAUUUUCAUGAGAGUGAACUGUCAUGAUUUUAUAAGCGUCAAUACUCGGUAUAAAUUGACUACUGCUGUGAGUUCCCUUUCAGCUUAUCGUAGGCAUACAUUAUUGCUAGCACGGUAAAGAGAACCAACACGAAUGAUGAAGUAAACGUAGCGGAACUUUUGUAUACCAACACCCUUACGUACCGGUGUCAUUCCCCACUGCCACAUAUAUUCUUAUAUGCUAACCAGCUUUGAAAAUUAAGCGAUUAAAAUAAUUAUUUCAAGAUAGAAAUAACUUAUCGGCUUCUCGAAGCUUGUGUAAUGUGAAUUCAAGGACUCGAUGGAAGUUGAAUCGCUUCAUCUAGAUUGCUUUCAGGAUUUUGGGUAACUAAAUUUAACAUUUGCACACACAAAUGUUAAUGUACAAAUGUUAAAUCUAGUUACCCAAGCAGAAUAUGAAGAUACUCUAUAGUAUAUAUGUACUAUAUAAAUCUAGUAAACAUUUAGUCUAAAUGUUAAAUCUAGUUACCUAAAAUCCUAAAAGCAAAAUGUAUAAAUAUAUAUCUUUUAAGGCAGUAUAAGCUUCAAUUCUCUGUUAAAUCUCAUCUUUCGUUGUGGCCCAACACUCUAGUAUGCAUGUUGCACCAAGCUUCUUUGAGCCGCUCUGCCCUCUGAUUUUGCUGCGUAGGGGAAUCUUUAUCAGGUUGGGCUACUUCCAGUUGUGCGAUGUAAAGCUUCGUAUCUUUUAGAAGGUAGACAAAAUACCCGCGUUCUGGAAGAUUCUGCAACGUGCACGUUGGCGCUGCCACCGUGGUUGCUUAAGCAAAUGCAUCCAACUGAAUCGUCCUUAAGCUGAAUAAUUGGAUAUGGUAUCCACUGCUUAAAGCUGCCAUGUUUAGUACGUCUUUGUUUUUCUCUCUUUAUAUUCCAAUAAGGUCGGUGAUCUUGAUGCCACACACUCAGAUGUGUGUUUAUCUCCAGAUACUACUCCAUGCUACCUACCCUUUGUGUUUUGUUCAAUAACUGGGUAUCAUAUCCUAGCCAGUGUGCCAUCUGUUUUGUGUUUGUUUCCUUCUAGUUCCAAAGGGGUCAUCAUGAUGUUACCUUCUUUUGAGGUGUCUAUGAUGACUUCGUUAAUAUCAAUAUUAACCAAUUCAAUCUGUCUUAACUAUUUGUAAGGGGUAUGAUGUAUGCAUGAUUAUAACAAUGAUUGCGCAUACAAUCGCCGCCAAAGAAACGGUCAAUACCAUUAAGACAUAUUACAGACAAUUCUCAUAAUCUAUAAUGAAUAUACAUAUUCACUACUGCAGAAGACUGUCAUUUGUAUCGGCUCAUACGUGCCAGGGCAAAGGUCACCCUUGCAUUAAGUACAUUUGCACGGUAAAGACAACCAACACGAAUAAUGAAGUAAACAUGCCGGUGCUUUUGUACACCAACACGCUUACUUAAAUGUACUGGUGUCAUUCCUCACCGGUAGCCGGCUUGAAAAUUAACCAAUUAGAACAAUUAUUUAUUGUAUCGGUGUGAUUUUUGACCUAUUGGAAUAUGAAUUUGACCGUUACUGCAUUCGUCAAGACUCAAGAGAGAAAUAACUGAUCGGCUUCUUAGAGCGUGUGCAAUGUGAAAUCAAGGACUGGAUGGAAGUUGAAGCGCUAGCACUAGUAGAGAAACGACUUUCCAUCCACCCCCUUUUGUCCCGGUUUAAAGUUGGCUCGGGAUAAAAGGUUCACCAACCGGGACUAAAACUCAGUCACUGGUGGGAGGCUCACCAACCGGAACCUUUUAUCCCGGUUGCAAAGGCUAAUGGGAAAAAAAGACUCUGAGAGGCCUUUUAUCCCGGUUUGAAACACCAACCGGGAUAAAAGACCCCCCUUUUAUCCCGGUUGGUAACACCAACCGAGAUAAAAGGGUCAAGAGCCUUUUAUCCCGGUUGGAAACACCAACCGGGAUAAAAGACCCCCUUUUAUCCCGGUUGGUGUUUCAAACCGGGAUAAAAGGGCCCCCACGAGGUGACUGGAAGGUGACUGGAAGGGGAUUAAAUCGUGGGGGACCCUUUUAUCCCGGUUGGAAACACCAACCGGGAUAAAAGGGGGUCUUUUAUCCCGGUUGGUGUUUCCAACCGGGAUAAAAGGGUCCCCCACGAGUUAAUACAAAAGGAUAGUAUCCCCUACAUAGUCAGAUGUGGUGUGUAGGUGGGAUGGUAAGGAAGCUACGCGCGAGCUCCGGAAUUUUUUUUUUUUUUUUUUGCAGCGUCGGCGCUCUCUACCCUUUUAUCCCGGUUGGUAUUACCAACCGGGAUAAAAGGGGGUCUUUUGUCCCGGUUGAGUGACCCGGGAUAAAAGACCCCCCCUUUUUUCCCCGGUUAGUUUAUCCCGGAUGCAUUUUCGGGAUAAAAGCACCCUACCAACCGGGAUUAAAGCUCACUUCUCUACCAGUGUAGCUUCAUCUUCCGCUGCAAGUUAAUUGCUUGGAUAAGAAGUUGUAGCCGCUGCAAGUUAUAAAUAGUCCCGCUGAUGCUGUGCUCCGAAGUCUAUACUAUAUAUGCGGAAACUAGAUUGCUUUCAGGAUUUUGGGUAACUAAAUUUAACAUUUGUACAUAAAAAUGUUAGUUUACGAAUGUUAAAUCUAGUUACCCAAGCAGAACAAGAAGAUAGUAUAUAGUAUAUACUAUAUAAAUCAAGUUAACAAUUAGUCUAAAUGUUAUAUCUACUUACCCAAAAUAUUGAAAGCAAAGAAAGAAUAAGUAUAUAUCUUUUGUUGGAAAAUUGGUCCACGGAGAGGCCCAUUUAGGCCUCGUUCGUUUCACCGGGAUGGGAUUCCAGUCAGGAUUACUUCCAAGUUCGGUUUGAGUGAUUCCACCCGUGUCACUCAAUCCGGCUAGGAUUCAUUCUAUGGGUGAGGAGGUAUGGUUUCAAUCCAGGCCAUCUAAUGUAGAAGGAUUCCAAUCCAGGCCGGUUUUCGUUCCAGGCCAGACUAAAACGAACAACACUUUCAAUGCAAGUCUGGUUUCAAACCGGGCCAUUUCAAACCACCCGGAAUGGACCUCGUUCCAGGCCAAUCCGGUGAAAACAAAUGAGGCCUUAAUGGAAUCCCAAAGCAAGAGUUCAGUGGCAUUCUAUAGUCCCAUGCUGCUAGUUUGAGUUGGUCGAAGCCAACUUAAAUAGGAGAGCUCUCUCACUUCUCUAAAUACGUAACUGAAGGAGAGAAGGGGGCUUGGGUUACACAACGCACGCACGCACGCAUAUUUGCGUUCUUUUCGCGUAACCAACCGCGUGACUUGAAACUUGCGACGUAGCGUGCUGCUAAGUCAAGUUGAUAUAACCUUUUUGCCGUUUGCAUGUAAUCUUUUGACAACGGUCAUUGGAGGUGAUAAGCACGCAGUCAAUACCUUAAUCUUGAGUUAAUAGGGUGGUUACUACUGCCAAUUAGUGGGGCAAUUUUGUAGGGGAAACGGUUAGCAGAGGGCUACCGUCUUCUCUAUAAGAAGUUCUGGAGACGUCCAGGAACACACAUGUACAUGUGAGAGACCCACAAAUUCCUUCCCUUCUCCCUUUUCCAUGUGGUGAAGUGUGCUGUGGUACUGAGCUGCUUGAUCUCGCCGCUCUUCUCCUUGGCAUGCACCGAGGAGGAGGGUGAGCGGUAUCUCCGAGCUAUUGCCGUCAGGAAGCCUGCACGAGGGACAACAAAAAGUUUUUGGGUAGCGCAACUGCCAGCACAACUCUCCCUCCGCCUCUUCUUCACGGUUGAUGGCCACCACAAGCAUAAACCUCGCCUUCGCAUCCACGCAAAAGGGUCGCUGGGGUGCCUUCUUGCAUCGCUUCUCAGCCUCCUUGACUUGCGGCCAGCCAAGAACUGCGCCACCACCUCGGGUGCACGCCACCACUCCAGGGCUGCUACCCCAUGCCUGCGGCCGCCGCCGGCCACCACGCGUGUGCAACCGCGUCGCACCGCUUCCUUGCUUUGUGCCACCACUGCUGCUGUACCACCAGCUCCACCACCUUGGGCUGGUCGCCAGAGUGACUGAUAACUUAUUAUCUGUAACUACUAUUAACUCAGGGAUACAUGCGUCUUUUGCUUCUCCUACUAAUAUGUCCUAAAAUAUCUAGGAUGCCUUAUAUUUCUGGACAGAGGAAGUAUUUGAAUAAAAUGAACCAAUUUAAAAAAAUGUGUUGUACACUACUACAGAAAGACCUAUCAGUGUCAAACCCAAAAAUGUUGUCACCGCCAGUUUUGGGCAUCAUUGGUGAAAGGUUGGCGGUGAUGGGCUUUCCCUUCAACAACGGCACUGGAGCCGACGGUGAUUGACAUUAGAAAACAAAAAAGGGGACCCUACCUAGCCACCCCUGCAACCCGGCCGGCCGUGCCUCCCCUCAUCCCCACCACCUCGCCUCCCCAUGACCCCCCGCCGGCGCCCUUGCGCCUAGCCCCCUCAACUGCCCAGCCGGCCACCCUCAUCACGAGAGAGAGGUGCAUGUUGUAUAAUUGCGUGAAUUUUUUAAUGUUUAAUUUCAUGUAAGUUCCGUGUAAUAAAUUGUACAAGUUUUAUUGUAUAUAUGAAUUCCAUAUAUAUAUAUAUAUAUUUAUAAUUUAAUGUAUGGUUUCAUGUGUAUAUUUCAAUCAUGUGUAUAUUUAGUAGAUUGCCGAUUUUCUUUUUCUACUAGACAAGGGUUGAUGUAUAAUUACGUGUAUAUGUUUAUUGUACGGGCAAUUAGGACAAGUUUUGUAUAAAUUUCUUUUAUUUGAUGGUUGUUGUAUGGUUUCAUGUAUAUACAUUUAUUGUACUACUUUAGACAAUUUUUAAUUUAAUGUUUCUAUGAUUAGAUGUGUGUAUAACUAAUUGUAUUAUUAGUUAAGAUGGGAGCUAAAGAGGAUGAAAGGUAUAUAAUGGAGCAGAUUAUUGCUAGCUCAAACGUUGCAAGAACCUACACCGAGGGUGAGGGUAGCUAGGUGGACAUGUACCUCAACAUGUCCAGUGAUGGCAAUGACGAUGAGGAGCACGAGCAUGACAUCUAUGAUAAUGCGGAACAAGACAUUGCAGAAUUGGAAGGUUCUAAUGAGGUGUGCUUCAUGUUGACAAUCUAGUUGGCUUUUUUUCGUUGGUCACACCUUAGUUACCAUAGAACUUCGUCUCGGGAGAAGAUUGGUGGUGGUAUGGUGAUUGGAAUUUUAUUUCCACGAAAUCUGAUUUCCAUCGAAUCAUAUCCCUUGUAUUUAUCUUCUUUUUAUUUGUGAGAGCAUCUUCUUUAUGCUUGCAAAACAAUUCAAGUGCACAUACUACCCCUAGGGUGACGAUUGGGAGUAGAAAUAAUUGCCAACAAAACAACACCACAUCCUAAGAUUCUUAACUUGUGGCAUAAUUAGUCUAGUAAAAAGAAAGAUAAAAACCUAAUGGGUGUAUGUGAGUGCAAUGUGUAUAUGCAUAUGAGUGGAAGGCAUAUAAGCAAAGACAAUAUUUACACAUAGUUCUAAACACCAUGUUUACAGCUAGGUUGCUGAAUUUCUCCAUAGCCAUAGAGAUUAAUUAACCAAGGUCAAAACACGAUGUCUAUCCCAAGAUCAGUAAUUAUUUAUAGCACAAGAAAAAGAAAGCGCAUUGCAAAGUUUAUAAACCAACCAAUACAGCAUGAAAACAAGAUGAAUAGCUAGCAAGGUUUAUUAAACUGAAUGAUGACGGUCUGUAAGCAAGUUUAAACACCAUCUUUACACAAGAUUGCAAAUGGAAAAUGCCCAUAUGAAGCACUAACAUGGAUAUGAAAUCAUUCAUCAUAAAGCGUAAAGAACAACCAAGCCAACCAUAUGCAAAGCAUGAAUGGAAUGCAAUGAAGGUGCAAGAGAACAUUUUUGGAUGAACACAUUAUGAUGAUGGCAAAAUGCAAUGCAUGCAGAAAAAAUAAAUAUGAACAUGAAUAUGAUGAUCAGGGGCGGACCCACUAUUGUGGCCUGGGUAUUCCUCGGCAUACCCAAUAUUUUUGGGAAAAUGUUUAGUAGUUUUUAAUGGCAUAUACAUGUAUAAUAUAGUUUAGGUGUUAAAAUUGAUAUUCACAGCUAUUUUGGGCUCCAAUUCGCGUCCAAACCAACCUGGCCCACAGACCGCACCCGGCCGCCCGGCCCAUCGGCCCAUCUUGUCACUGAUCCUCCCACCACCACACUCAGCCCGUCAGUUAGUCAGGUCCCGAGCUCCUGCCUGACCUAGUCCGCUACCACCGCCAGGCGCCAGGCACAGCUGUACACGCCGCCCCCGUCCACCCACGUCCGCCGCACGGCCGCGUCGCGCCCCCCCCCGGCGCCCGCUGCUGCCAGAACCCAUUAGGCCUCCACCGGCAAGUCCACCCACAGUCCCGCGCGACGCGGCAGCCUCUUGGCUCUCGGCGCUCGCGGCGCGCCAAUGCCUGCGCAGCCCCAGCAGGCGACUGCCCCCCCCCCCCCCGCAUCGGGCCUCGGCCCCUCCCCAGCUCCCCCUCCCCCCUCCACCAGGACUGCCUGCUGGCCCCCACCGCGAGGUAAUCGAAAUGGACUGCUCAAUCUCUCAAUCUGUUGACAUGAUGCACACGGUUGCAAAAAUAGAUGUGUCAAAAUAGAUGUAUUGCCAAUUGCUAUAGAUGCAUAUGGUUGACAUGAAGAAGUCAAAAAUGACAUUUGGUUCCUUGUAGGCAGUCAAAAAUGAAGAAGUCAAACAAUAUUGAUCUGAAAUCAAUGCGGGAAAGGGCUACGAAGACACACGGGUAGAUUCCCUUGUGAACUUUUUAUGUCGUUCGUCUAAAUAUAUUUUUGCAAUGGGCAUACCCUACUCUGAAAUCCUGGGUCCGCCACUGAUGAUGAUGGUCUAAACAUAAAACAAGCCUAGAUUAAUUAGCUACAACUGAAAUUAAGCAAAGGUUAAUGUCAUUGACCCUAGCUCUAUCCUAGCUUUUACUAAAGUCCCGGCACAUAUAGUGGUUGGGCCCACUCUCUCUACUUCCCUCUCUGCUGCAUGCACACACACGAGCAACUGGAGGCCCAACAAAGCCCAGAAGGGUUCGGCCGAACCCGUCCGAUCCAGUCUGAGCGCCGCUCCCUCCCAGCCUUCGCGCAGAUGCUCCUCCAACGUUCCUUGACCCCUCCCUCAGUGUCCCAUUGGGUUUAACAUUGUAGGAGAGGAGUCCCUUUUUUAAAAUCUCAACCACCUCCUCUCCUCAUUCACUCCACUCUCAUCUCCAUCAAACUCACCAAGAUCCACAUCGGAAAUACCUGCUUACCACCAUGGCUGGCAAAGCCCUCGUCCCUUUCACCAACUUGGGCUUGACCAUUGAUCUCGAUGGGAAAAUCACUCCAGCAAAUGUCAUUGUCCCUGUCGGCGAUCUGGCGAUGGAGGAGGUCCAGGCACUAGAGGUCGAGCCCCUAGCCAUCAUACCGCCCAAGGGGUAAAGCAGGAGCAUGACAGGCGCUGCUAGGGGUUCAGCCGAACUCCCAGUUCAGCCAAACGAGGACGGCGUCGCCUCGGCCUCCCGCUCGACUGCAUGCUUCCCCUUGCCAAGGAGGACUCCAGAACAGCGGGCGCGUGCGUCAAGUCCCUACAAAAGGCUGAAAUACAAUGAAUAUCCAGGGUCACCCUUGAAGAUGGGUGAACGCUACGCCGGGUCCUUGUUUGACUAGUACGGCGAUGCAUUCUGCCACCGCUAUGUCGUUGUCGAGAUUAGCGGAUCAAGACUUAGACUAGUAAAUUUCUUUUAUGCGCGUAAGGCUUCAGAUGGUGGCGUGGGAGACAUGGGUUUUAUACUAGUUCGGGCAAUGGAAUACCCUACGUCCAGUGUCUGGAGCUGCUUGUGUUGCCCACGCGGGGUUCUGUAGUAGGGGUUACAGGUGUGCGAGAGAGGGAGCUAAUCCCAGGUCUCUUAGGCGUGUUCCGGUCCUCUAGAUGGGAGAAGUGUGUUCUGUUUGCUUGGGAGUAUCGGUUGUGUCUGAGUUGUCUCCGGAGCCUCCUCCCGUCUCAGGUCCCCGAUUCUCCUUUCAUAGCACAAGGAGACCAUCGGGGUUACAGACGAGACCGAGCGUGGGGAGGAGUAAAGAGAUAAACAUAGCUAGGUAAAAAUACAACAAGAAAGGGGGGAACCAAGUUUCUAGGUCACCGGCGUCCUCGCCGGCCUUCGACUUCCGCCGGCGCAUUUGUCGGAGGAGGGUGGCCGCCAUCGCGUUCUGUCGAUGGCUUCCUCGGUGACUGUAGCCACCGGGCGUGAUGAUGGCAUUUCGUCGUGACCCUUUGUCUGUUGGGGGAGGCGGCGGAUCCUGCCAUUCUGCUGACGGCUCGCGGAGUGCGAACGUCGCAUCCCUGCCGCUGGGCACGCGGGGCGCGAGAACGUGCGAGGCUUCCCCCUACCCCAGGCGGCGCAGGCCAUGAGUGCCCUGUGGCAAAUCGGAGGAGGCCGCAGCUACUGUAGCUUGUACUGUGCAGCCACGUAUGGGUACUUGUGGCAGGUUGCGUGGUGGAUGCGGAUAUCCUUCUCCCUGACAGAUCUGCGGCGCAUUUAUGGCGAGAUCGACAUGGGGACCCACAAGACCCGCGCCCAAGGCGGAUACUUGUCUGGAGGGCCCGGGUUAGCCUGACCCCCUACGCUUGGGGUCGGGCGAGGCGGAGACUUGCGGCGGGGCGUCGGACGCUCCCGACACUAGACCUGCGGUCGCGCAAGGCGGAGCUUGGUCUUCCGGGGGUCGGGGGUGCCGGACCCCAGGAUGCGGGGUCGGGCGAGGUGGAGCGUAAUUCUUGCCUCCCAUGUUGGGCCGAUGGCAGUCUUUGUUACCUCUAGUGGGCUUGGGCCUUUAUGUUUUGUUGUUUCCAUGGGCUUCGAGAGGUCGUUAAUAUUUCCCCCCAACAGUAGCCCCCGAGCCUGUGGUGGAGUGGGGGCGCUCCUCCGGAGGCUACUAUCAUCGCCCCUAGGGAAUCCUCGCAGUUGAUCCGGGAUAGGAGGUGUUGUUUGCACGGCUUGACCGAGGGGGUCGAUUAGGCGACGCAUCCUGUGAGCGACUCGGUGCGGGAGGGUUUCUUGUUGUUCCCUUCUGUCUGAGAGCCUUAAGUCGAGACCACCUGCGUGGCCUUUGGUUGCAAGGCCAGCCCCCGAGCCCCCGCACGUUGCAGGGGACCGGUCGGAGGCUAGGUCGACUUUUGUUCAUUACCCUCAAGCGUCUGUUCGCUAGGACGGAGGGGGCGAGCCGUGCCAUGCUAUCCUCAUCGGACGAACCAUGGUGCUCAUUGAGUUACUAACGGGUUGAUUCGAGUGGGAUCCCGGUCCCCGUUCGGGGGGGGUCCGGCUUGGGCCAAGCUGGUGGCGUACCCCAGGCUCCGGUCGGCCAGUUCAUAUAGUUCCUGAGUCCGUUCGGUCGGACCGGGGGCUCAUUGCCUUUCUUCGGGGAAAAACCAUGAACUUUGAUGCCGGUCCAGACUCGAAUGUGAGAUUGAGACGCCCGGGGCUGUCGCGUGCCCGGGUGAUGGCCGCUAGCGGACCCGUCUCCUCUCACCCCUCACUCGGGGGUAUCCUGAGGCGGCUGUCGAACCCGUGGCGGGCCAGCCUUCGAACCUCUGGAUCGUAAUGGGCCGUAGGGGCGUUUUCAGCCCCGUAUCCCUUUUUACCUUUUGGUGGGCCUUGGGCCGAAUCAUGGAGGAGGUCGGGCCUUGGGCCGGAUGCGGAGGAUGUCGUGCCUUGGGCCGGAUGUGGGGGACGUCGUGCGUGUCUUCCGGGAGACGAAGUGGUGGAGGGUGCCAACCCGCGAAUCGAGGGAGGAGGGGAUGUUUCUACUGCAGGUCAUGCGCACGGUUUCCGAAAAGGCAGCGGGCGUGACGGGACGUACCUCGCGCCGCAUUUAUUGCGAUGGGGGCGUCUGUUCUGCUUCCCUCGUGCCUUCCCUAUAAAACGAGGACUUCGCCUCGCCGGUUCCGCCCGCCAUCUACCUUCAAGCCUUUUCGCCUCCUCGCGCGCCCUUAGCUUUCCUGUGCCCGCUUCGUCUUCCUCCGCCCAGUGCCGCGCCCUUUCUCCCCAUCCGCCGUCGAGUUCUUCUCCCUCCGGCGAUGGGAUCCUGGGCGCGUUCCCACUUCGGCCCCUCACGCGCCGAAGGCCUAGUGAGGAAAGGCCUCCUUUGCGAGAGGACGGAGACGGAUGAGUGGGGGUUCCCUGAGAUGGAAGAGGUGCCGACUCCGCCCACCGGCUACGUCGUUUCCUUUGCCCACUUCCACGAGAGGGGGUUUGCGACUCCGCCGAGCCUCUUCUUCCGCGGGCUUUUGUAUUACUACGGGCUUGAGCUGCAGCACCUCAACCCCAACGGGAUUCAGCACGUCGCGGCGUUCGUUGCGGUGUGCGAGGGGUUCCUGGGCAUUGAGCCCAACUUCUCGCUGUGGAAGUACUUCUUCACGGUCAGCCUAUACCAGAAGGCCGAGAAGAGGGGAAGCCAGCAGCGGUCGACCCCGGUGCCGAUAGGGUGCGUCGGAAUCCACCUCUGCCAUACUCGCGCCAAGGAGUAUAUCGCGAUGAAGACCGCGGCAUCCCACAAGGGGUGGCACCAGCAAUGGUUCUACGUGAAGAACUACUCCAACCCCCCCUGCCGGAGUUCACCGGCCGCAUUAUUGAAGCGGCGCCGGAGGUGUGGGUGUACGGCCCGGUGGAGAAGGAGAAGAAGCGGAUCACCGGCCUGCUGCAGGCCAUCGAGCACCUGAAGGAGAGGGGACUGACCGGAGCCGGAGUCAUCGGGGCGUACCACGCCCGGCGGGUGGCGCCGCUGAUGCUCCGGGUCCGCUCGCUCGCCGACAUGACCCCCGGUGCUCUCACCGAUGGCACUGUCCUCGCGACGGGUGCUCUCGCUGCCUCCGAGAUCCGGCAGCGGAUCCGGGAGGCGCUGGAGGACAAGGACGCCGAUUACCCGGUGCCCGGCCACCCUCCGAUGCGCCCGGACGAGAAUUUCAUUGAUCUGGUAAGGAUUUUGCGCGCCAGUUUCCCUCUCUUGCGUUUCUUGGUAUGCCGUUCUGACGCGAGGCCCUCUGUGUUUGCAGGGUAGCAUGACCCGGGUCGUCGACUUGCGUCCGCCAGUGUCGGAGGACGCCGAGUGGCGGUAGCAGAACCGUCUCCUUGCCGAGAAGCAAAAGUGACGCAAGGACAAGAGACAGCGAAGAAGAAGAAGAGGGCCGCCAAGGAGUUCCAGCGGCGGCGGUGGGGAUAGGUCGUGUCGGAUGACGAUGACGAUGAGAAGGAGGAGGAGGAUGACGAGGAGGAGGAGGAGUUUAUCCUGUCCCCCCGGUCAGGGGCGCUUGUUAUCCGGGAGCCGCGCUCCCAAGCGGCCAUGGGGGACAAGGCGGGCGAGCUGCCUGCCCGGACCCGAUCCUGCGAAGCUUUGGGGGCGCGCCCCAGGGGUCGGCGCAGAGCGCCCCCCGGGGGUCGACGGAGCCGACCCCCAUCCCUACACCUGCAGCCCAGGAGCAGAGGAGCAGCGACAAGCGGCCGUUGCCAGAUGCCCCGGGGUCGGCGUCCAGCUCAGAGGCGAAGCGCGCGCGCCGCCCUUGCGCUGGGGGAACGUGAGUUGAAUUUCCUUGCGAAUCUCGUUCCUUUCCAUGCAUUGUGUUUGUUUCCGCUGAUGCUGUUUGUUGUCUCACAGCACCGCCCCUCAAGGCCUUGUCCCGCCGUUGGCGCCAAAGAAGGCGUUGCGGUGUUGUCGCCUCUGCGGGGCGGACCGCGGCUCCGCCGGCGGCGAGUGGCGGGGUCACUGGUGAGACCGCGGGUCCUACCGCGGAGGUGGCCCCUGCGGCGGCAACCGGUGGAGUGGUGCCACCGCCGGGCAUGGGACAGGGUCUGGACCCCGCUCCGUCCUCCGCCUCUUCGGCCGACCCCGCGGUGCAGAGUAUCGCUCCUGGGGGCCCUCAGGCCGGGGAGGUGAUUGACCUCGACGCCGACGAGGUGGAGGAGACGGCGGCGGUGGAGACGGGGGCGGUUGCCCCAGCGGCCAUGACGGGGACGACGACGGCGACGGGGGAAGGAGAGUCUACCCCCGCGGCCACGGCGGGGACAGUGGCGACAGAGGAGGCGGGGACGCCCGCCCCGGCGGCUGCGACGGAGGAGGCGGCGGUGACGGAGACGGGGGCUUCCGCCCGGGAAGCCACAGCCGAGGUGGCAGCGGCGACGGAGGUGAAAGUGCCUGUUCUGGAGGCCACGGUGGGGGUGGGGACGCCUGCCUCGUGGCCACGACGGAGGGCGAGGCGGCCCCAGGGACACUUGCUCCGGCACCCGCGUUGGAGGCGGUGGCGCCGACGGGUUGGCCCGUGGCGGCCUCGACGGGGGCGGGGGUGCGUGCGCCGGGACCGUCGGUGAGGCCGGCGACUUCCGGGAUGGUGGUGCCCGUCUUGACGGCGGCGGCGGCGCGGUCGGCCCCCGCCCUUGCCUCUACCACUCCCAUUCCCAAGGCGUGGAGCGGAUCCGUCCUGCGUUGGUCGUCUCGUGACGACCCGCAGAGGCCCCUCUUCACGUUGGAUGAUGCCACAGAAUGGGGCAAGUGGCAGGCGCUGCAGGGCGGACUCGCUAACGUCCGCGCCGCUCUAUCUUCGGCGUUGGGGGAGCUGGACGGCGUCAUCUUCCCCGGUGGCCGGGUAUGGUGCUUUCUCCGUUGGUUAUUUUCUUCCCGUUACUUCGUCCCUGAUGGCACAUUGUUCUGCAGGCCCUCCAAGAAUGUAGCCGGGGAAAAUCUGAUUUCCUUUGGCUCGAGCAGGGGCUCUGGGAGCGCUUCAACUUGGAGUUGCAGCGGACCGGGGAGCUGACCAUGCAAGUCGCCACCGUCUAGCAUGUCAUCGACGAUCUGCGAAGGCACGAGCAGGCGGCACAGGAGGACGCGCGGCGGGCGGAGGCCAAGUUCCAGGUCGUUGCCGAAAGGGCUCGCUGCGACCGCGAGGAGUUCCAGGCCGUUGCCGAAAAGGCCCGCCACGACGCUGAGGAGCUCGCACGGCUGAAGGUGCAGCAUGAAGCUCUUCAGAAGAGCGGCAGAGGGCCUGGCAGGACCGGGACGCCGAGAAGGUCCGGAAGGAGGAGGCUGAGAAGGUGGCGGCCAACCUUGGGGCUGAGGUCAGCCAGCUCCAAGUGCAAGCGCGAGAGCUUCAGGCCUCCGUGGCCCAGGGGCUCGACCAGGAGCGCCAGCUGAAGGCCUAAUCCGAGGGUAUGACUCUGUUUAUUUCUUUGUCUUUGUGAUGUUGCGGUGAUAUUUUAUUUGGCGGGUUCUUCUGGAUGAUCCUUGCAGAUGAGCUCAACUGGCUGAGGGAGGUGCUUGACGCGGAGCGCGCUGAGCACGGCGACCUGCGGGACGCGGUCCGCGUCAUCUGUGACUUCCUUAGUGUGGUCCAGGGGGAGGGGACGAGCUCGCUGGCGGCUCGUGUCCUCGGGACGUACCGCCGGACCAGCGAGAUCGCCCUGGAAGCGCUUCGCACCGGCUUGAGGCAAGCCUUUGGGGUCUUCGGCUCCCACUAUUCCGGCAUCAACUUCGCCGGGAUGAGCGGGGGAUACGCCACCGGCUACUACGAGGCCGAGCUGGAUGAGAUCGACGUGUCGGUGCUCAGCCCGGCGGAGGCCUUGGUGAAGCUCCUCGAGGAUGAGGCCGUCCCGCCCGAAGAUCCCCGGACGAGUUAACUAUAUCGGGCUGGCGCCCCAGAUGUAAAUACGUUAGGGAAAGACUUGUUUUUUGUGAGGGCCGUAGAGGCCUUUUCUAUGAAUUGUCGUAAAAAAGUUUUUGAUUCCCUUUCUUGCUUUUUGGACUUGGAAAGUUUAGAGCACGUUGUCGGGCGUGUCAGUAAGCUUUGAUGAGCGAAGGCACCGUAGCCGCUGGGGCGUCGUUUUUUUUGCAGUCCGAUCAAUCUUGCCUGAACACCGUUCGUGCACUUUCUCCUUUUUAUGCCCAAAAGUUCAGAAAGAGGGUCGGCUCGGAAAGAGAAAGCGUUUUGAGAGGGUGUCAAGUGGCUUAGGUACUUGCGGCAGGUUGCGUGGUGGACGCGGAUAUCCUUCUCCCUGACAGAUCUGCGGCGCAUUUAUGGUGAGAUCAACAUGGGGACCCACAAGACCCGCGCCCAAGGCGGAUACUUGUCUGGAGGGCCCGGGUUAGCCCGACCCCCUACGCUUGGGGUCAGGCGAGGCGGAGACUUGCGGCGGGGGGUUGGACGCUCCUGACCCUAGACCUGCGGUCGGGCGAGGCGGAGCUUGGUCUUCCAGGGGUCGGGGGCGCCUUACCCCGGGAUGCGGGGUCGGGCGAGGCGGAGCGUAAUUCUUGCCUCCCAUGUUGGGCCGACGGCAAUCUUUGUUACCUUGGGUGGGCCUGGGCCUUUAUGUUUUGUUGUUUCCAUGGGCUUCGAGAGGUCGUUAAUAUUUCCCCCCAACACUAUGAGGAGGACUUGUGGGCAGAAAGUCAGCUACCACAAACUUGCCUCUGAAUAUUUGGAGUGCAAACAUUGGAUGGUGGUUGUGGAGAGCCCCAGCCAUACCUCGCACCCGUGGAGAGGUAAUUGUCGGAUUGCUUGGUUCGUCUCUAGAAUGCGACAAGGUCAGGCGCCACCUCUCACUGCUGCCAGUCAGAAGGCCGAGGGGCCAGUUUCAACAUAGUAAUGAGAAUCUCCGAAGGCCAAUAUGGUUAAGCAGCUAACCUCCAUGAUCAUAGACUUACGUUUAGAAAAUAGGAGGCUUAGCGAUGCGUUAACAGAGCAGAAGUUAGAAACAGAAGAACUUAAGGACGACUUCCGUGUCCUCCGCCUUGGUCUUUGUGCUAAGAUAAAGCGCUUGUACAAUGCCACGGGGAAUGACGGUCUCUACGAUGCAGCUCAAUAGACGUGCCCCUUGUAUCCUUUCCUUUAGGCACUUUAGAAUAUGUUUAUUUGUUUUCCUUCAUUUUAAUUUCCAAUAGAUUGUUAGCGCCUCCAAUUUAAUUUCAAUAAAGUGUAGACUCACCGGUCAUCCAACUUGAUGGAGUCCUUUUGUCACCUAGUUGUCUUUGGAAGAAGUAGCUGGGUACAAAAUAAGUGUGGGGGAGAGCCACAGACUCUCUAGAGCUGAAACAAUGCACAACACCCACAAAUAGAGAAAACCACGCUGCACCAGCACGUACGUGAAAGUGGAGCCAGAGCUGGACCCAUAGGGGUUUGGCCAACCCAAGGGGUGGCCCACUCGGGCCAUCUUCAUCCACCGCGUCGGUUUGUGUCUCUUUACCCCUGAUCUCCCUGAUUCAUGAGUUUGAAUGAAUUUUAAAUCUGAUCAACUAAUUCAAACUCAACUAAAAUGAAUCAACUGCUCCACCUGCUCUACAUGUUUUCUAUGGUUGGCUUGCAUAUGUUUUAUUUCAUGCUUAUCAUCUUGAUGCUUGUGAACAAAUAUCUUUAGGACAGCAUGCUCAUCUAAGUAGUUGAUGUGUAUGAUAUGGUUCGAUGAUAUGAUCUUCACUCUUAAUGCUUAAGUGCUUGGGAAAAUCUAUUUGAAAAUUUAAAAGCCUUUUUGAAAUCUCCUCUUUGAUGUGCCAAAGUCCUACCAAAGCCAUAUGAUAAGUUAUCUUGAAAAACCAUUUGCAUAUGUUGCUUGUCUUUGCAUUGAGCUUUGUCAAAUUGGUGUGACCCUUGUCACAAUUCUUUUCAUACUUUCAUGAUCAAGACUCAUGUGCACGCCAUAUACCCCUUGCUAUGCUUCUAUGAGAUGUUAGCAUUGUACCAUCCAUUCAUUCCACAAAAUAAAUGCUCCACCAUAUGUGUUGGUCUCCUUCUAAGAUUAUUGUUACAAAAGAGAUAUGGGCUAUCAAAAAAAAAUAUGAAUGUCCAAGAAAGUUGGACACAUGAAUGUCCAAUAAAAAGAAAAAGAAAGAUAGCCAUGUCCUCAGAAAUAUUUACAAAGGGAGAGAGAUCAUACAAAAAGGAGUUUCCAUUCCAUCCACCACAUCCAUACAUGUGCACAUCUUGAUCUGAUUGUAUGACUUAUUUUUCUCUUUGGAUCUGGUCUUUGACUUUGCAAUAUAUGUGAUGCAAGCAUGCCUUAUCCUUCAUAGCCUACCUUGAGCUCCACAUAUAGCCAUCAUUAGAAGUAGGAUGAAGAAAGGCAAGUCUAAUGCCUUGGUGAGGACAUAUACACAUUGAGUGAUCUGAGAGAAUCAAAUGAGGAGCUAAGCAAGGUUUUGUUUUGAAAACUAAUUGAAAAAUCCCAAGCUACUUGGCAUAAGGAGUUGAGGUGACUUGAUUCAAGACCAUUACAUUCCUCAACUACCCAAGAUGGCAUGAUAGACACUCCAAAGUUCACAAGUGCAGGUAUGGUUUGGAAUAUCUUUUAGGCUCGCUUCAUACCUUUGAAAGUUAUGUUUCACCUUAGUCCUUUCUCGUUCACUCAAGGAUAAGCAAAGGCUAAGUGUGGGGGUGUUGUUGAUGGCUCUUAAGUACAAAAUCUGCGCCAUCAACUCUUGCAUAAACACAUAAAAUAUGAGCAUCAACAAUAGUGGUAGGAGUUAUUACAAACGAAUUCCACAAGUCUUGGUGAAUAUUUGUAUGCAAGCCCAAUAGGAGAGAAAAGACACCUCAAAAGCAAGGAAACACACUCUCAACCAAUCAAGAGCAAGCACAUGGAACCAUGGGCCCACAACCAAAAGGAAAUCGACUACAUUCCAAACACCCUAUACCCACAUGAGAACCCAUAGGGCAGUGACCCAGAGCAAAGGUGAUGCCAGAGUGUAGAUGGUAGUUAGCAUGCCAAAUUUUGAACCGCAAGCGCUCGGAUUAGUUGUUUCUUUUCCCUUAGAGAUUCCCCCAAGGUUUAUCAAUCCAUGGAACAAGGGAUUUGCACGUUUCACUAAGCACUAAUCAAUGUAAUUGAAAGCUUUUCGAAUAAGAUAUGAUUAUGCUAACAAAGGAACUAAGCAAUCUAGAUUAAGAUGGAUAGAGAGUACAGGUUGUGAACAAGAUAGAUUAAACGCUUGUAGAUGCAAUCACCAUGCAUGAAUGAAUUAGAUCUAGGUGUUAUUGUGAGUGGUUGUGAACCAUGCCCAACACUUUCCCACCCGCAACAUUGUCACUACAUGUGGGUACUCAACUAUCGGAACAUAAGAACACAUCAAGAUGAUCAUUCUAGGUAAGCAAAUAAGCAACCCAAAGUAGCGCUGGCCAGCCUUUUCAUGAAAGAGCAUCAUCAAGAUAAGAUUGAUAACAAAAUAGAUCUCAACCAAAGGUUCAGCGAUUACAAAUCAAGAUCUUCGUAUAACCCCGAUGACAAAUAGAGGUAUUACCCCCAUGAUCUUACACAUGUUGAUGAAUUUUAGGGUAAAGGACACCCUGUAGAUCAACUGGACCAAAGAUGAUGAUGAACGGGGGCAGGGAAGGCCCAGGUUGAUCAGCCUGCGCACUUUUGAGCCGAUCAGCUCAGGGGGUUUCCUCCUCCCCUGGUGCUCCUCUUCGCGUGGCCUCCUCUGGAUCCAAUCUUCUCUUCAUUUCUCCUACUUGUGGCGGCAAUGGAUGGUGUUUGCAUGGUGAUUUCCUCUUCUCCCCAACUCUCCCUCCUUGAAGUCCAUGAGGGGGUAUUAAUAGUCUCCAAUAGGCGGCAGCUCUGGGUCAAUGUCAGUGAAAAAAUCCUAGAGAUCAUCGUACACUUCAUGCUGAGGAAACAAGAGGUUGACCGAGCCCUGGGAUAGACCAAGAGGAUCAUCCUAGAGGGUCCCAGGCUAAUCGGUCUAGGCCCUUCCUAGCCCUUCUAGUCCUCUCCUUCCUCGUGCUGGCUUUUCUCGAUGACCCUUGUCCAAAUAUCCAUGAAGCUCUAUAUACAUACCCCCUUGAUUAUGUUGUAUUUCCUGUCAAAAUACAAUGCUCCAAAAUACAACACAUAUGCAAUAAUAGGGUUAUUUCAGGUGCCAAUUGGUGGGUUAGUAUACGAAUAAGCAUGAAAAUACUGUUUAAAUGACACUAAAAGUGUGUCAAUAACGAGCACCAACAAUCCCCCCACGCUUAGAUCUUGCUCGUCCUCGAGCAAGUCUAGCGACUAAAAGAUCUUGAAUUAAACCUGAGCAAGCGAGUCAAGUACCUAGCCUUGAAACAAAAGAUUAGAGGAGCAGCAAAGAUAAUCAAAGUCUGGGUGUUCAAAGAUUUAUCUAAGCAAAGAUUCCCCUACAACUAUUAUUCAGAACCAAGUAACUUCAAAAAUCAACUACACUUAUUUUCUGGCUUUUUUCAGAGGGUUUUUCUUUCAUCAUAAAACAAUCUCCCUGCAACAAAAUUGAAAAAAGAAUUAUUUUCAAGGUGCUUACAUGUCGCUUAAAUGAAUGUUGGCUAUCCUACUUAUUUGCAAGCUCUCAUCUCUCAAAAUUCAUUCAAUUAUAUGGUGGAGUUUGGGUAAGGUUAGCUAGAAUCAACACGUAUAUUAUUGAAUUAAGAAAACCCUCUAACGGUGGCCUACCUUCCGAGCCAUUGAUCAUAAGAAUAUCCACAUAAUGUGAAGUUUUCAAGGAUGAGAAGAUAUAGAAUGGUGGACAUGUGCAAAGGCAAAGAAAUAUAGUGACUCUGAGGCACAAGCAAUGUCCUCGUCGUUGGAUUGCAUAUGGUUGUAAUGAAAAUAUGUUCCUUAAACAAGUCUAUCUUUUCUUUGCACCACUCUUGAUCUUCAUGACAGUAAAAACUCCUCCUUUAUUUCUUUCUCUCUUUUCCUAUUAUUUCUUUUUAUUUGUCUCAAUACUUUUAUUUCUUUAUUUCUUUAUUUUAAUCUCUUCUCUGAACCUCUUCUGAACACCACAUAAUAAAAAUAAGUUUUAGAUCCUUCCAGAGACCUUCCAGGAAUUUGCUACAUGAAAACCGAGGCAAGGAGACCCCAGGCCGAUUGGCCUAGCCACUCCUUUGCUCUCCUCUAGCUCUUCUUUCUGGUGAAGCUUCCUUAUCUUGUAUCUUUCCAAAAAUUUCAUAAAGCUCGACUAGAAACGGAACAGAUCUUCAUAUAAUGAGUUGUGUUCAAGGAAUUGGUAAUAAAAUUGAGAAAUUUGUGGUUCGGGUUUACGAAUUCAGUACAAAAAUAUGAUUGUUCCAAUGAAGAACUCUCAUUACUGAAUAUUGACGAGGCAAGCAUUCAAAGAUGGUAAAAAGGAUAUGAUCAAUUCUCAAAAUUAAAGCAAACCAAGAGAGAGCGAUCCUAAUUCAAUUCAAAGUGUCAAAUGUUGCUUAUGGUGGUAUGAAUAAAUAUUUUUAGGCAUUGGGUAGGAUAAAUAAAAACUCUCAACCUGGUUAAAAGAUAUUGAUCAAUCUUGUUUUUGCAGAGGUUUUAAAUAAAAAAUAAAAUUUUAAAUCACCUCCAAUUCAAAGCCUUACUCAUAAAUCAUAAUCAAAACUGAAGCACUUGAUCAUCAUAAAGCAUGGGUAUUGCAUAAACAAAUCGAUUACUAAAACUCCACAACUACGAUUUAGAAUUCAAGACAAUGCUCAUAAUCUAAAGUUGCAAAGAUAAAAUAAAAGACAACCAAGCCAAGGUAGACACUAAAAACACUUGCACGAUCCUUGAAUUUUAUUCAUGCUUCUUCUCACAAAGACGCUAAAGUAGCCAUGUAGGCCUAAGUCUUCCCAAAAGCUUAAGAAAACUACUACUUUAUCUACUUUUGGUUGAAAUAAAAAGACUAAUCUAGACUCUCACAUGAUUCGACUCGACCAAAUUAGAUCCAAAAACUCAUACGAGCGACGAUCUCCCCCCCCUCACGCUUAAAAUCUACGACCUCCUCGUCGUAGCCAUAUGGAGUACAAGGAAAAGAAGCUUGUAAACGCUCUAAUGACGCUACCCGCACUACUUGCACACGGGAUGGUUGCUGCUUCCUUCGCUUUGUUCUUCCUCAUGUUGCUGCACAUCCCGAAGAGCUUCCUCACGUUCCUCUGCAAGAACUUGAACUCGUCCUCCUGACGGCGAUCAUUAUCUUCUGCCUUUUGAUCCAGAGCUUGUAAGGCUUGCAUGAUGUCAUCGAACGCAUCGAAGAGGUAGUGGAUGUUCUUCCUGCAAGCUGUGGAACAUGUACGAUCAUGCUCCUCCGAUUCUGGCCCGUCGUCUUCUAGAUCCUUCUCUUUGCCCUUGUCUUGACGGUGGCUAUCUUGCUCCUUGCUCGCCUUCUUGCCUUCAGCCCAAUCCCAGUACGUGUUGUCAUCUUCUUCAUCGUCACGGCCUGCAGCACCCUAUGAUCCAUUGUCUAUCUUGUAUGAAAGAAUCAGAAGCUUGUUCUCCUCAGGGUGUCUUGCGCGGUGCAGCGUUUGCAAGUGCAAGACUUGCUAGUUCCUUUUACACAUUGUAAUGUUCAUUGCAUGCUCUAAUUGUUCUACAUUUGUAAUUUCUUGGUGAAGUUUGGUUACUGAUCCACUGUUUGAUUAACUCUUGGGCCCAAACACUGUACUACUUCUGAUUAGAUAUCUGUAUCUUGACUUUGACCAAAAAAAAUAUCCGGCAGUUUUUGCCAUUAAAGUUUCAUAAAUCAUCUUGCAAAAAUCGUACUAUACAACAAGGGACGGUUUAUUAUAAAAUAUACGUUCCCCUUAUCACAUGCCACUUCCACUCAAAAGGCAACGAAUCAGUUUUCAAUCCUGAGUGAGCAAUUUGCUUUUAUUACCGAUGCCUCCUAUUCCCUUGUGCACCAAGUUUAUUUUGGAUAGGGCUGCAAAAAACGACUAACCAGCUCGGAUUCUCCACCUGCAAAACCGCAUCUGCAGCAACCAACCCCACGCGGUGGAAAAAAAAACAAAACCUAGAAACCGGACGGGGGUGGAUGUGGGGCUCGGAGCCCAAGCAAAAAACGGAUCGGGAGCGCCGGAGCAGGCCAUCACCGGAUGUUAGAGAUAGAAAAUGGUUGAAGUUUGGAGUGGAAAUCAAACAAGCCUUGGAGCAAAGGAAAAAAAAAGAUCAAACCACUCAAGCAUUCAUUUGAUUUAGAAAAGAGAACAUUUGUUAAGGUGGGGAGUUGAAAUCAUCUUUUAAUUAGUUCCACGUAUCUGGUAUCAUUACAGUUGGUUUACUUGUGUAAGUAUAAGUAGCUCUGCCGAAGCCUUUGCUCCUAUAAUUUAGUAACUAGUACAAAUGGAUCAAUAGGAAAAUCAAGUUGCAAUCAUUUCUCAGCCAACCAAACCUAUGUAAAUCAAAUUAUUGUCCAUGCCCGGCAUGCACAGGUGCCUGCCAUGCAUGCAUUGUUGCUCCAUUGUAAUAACCAUUAUUGUCCAUCGAUGUUGCAGCGCAUGUGUGCACUGUGCAGACACCAAGCAUCGAGAUUAUGUACUAGUAAGGUGUUGAAAUAAUGGGCCUAGCCCAUAAGUAAUUUCAGAAUUUCAAAUAAAUCUCAAAGGCCCAUGUGGGCAAGAGGUGGAGUGGUGCAAGUCUUUAGUCCCACAUUGCUAGUCGAGGGGAGGGAUGACCAACUUAAAUAUGGAAGUUGUCUCCACUCCUCCAAGCUAUGUGUGAAGGGCGCGGGCGCGAGGCACUUGCGUGAAUGGUCCGCCGAAAUCUGGCCCCCCUUGCGGGGGCGCGGCUUCCUUUUGCCGUUUUAUUUUUUGGUUACUUGGUCGUUAAGUCAUGGAAUCCUAACCGGUUUAGAUCACGAUCGUGAAGGUUUUUGGGAAGCGCUCUGCGCGACUGCUCGAUCGCUUCUUCCGCUUCGUCAAGUUCUUCGUCGACUCCUUCACCACGGCUCGUCUACCUCUUCGUCGCUCGGGCCUCACUCGUCGUCGCGAACAACGUCAGGCUGCUGAUCGUCGUCGCCUGCUGUAUCCGGUAGUCGUCCAGGAGCCGGUUUUCAUCAAGAAAGAAACGUACGGUCUCUUAACUCACAUUAUGUCUUCCAUACUAGCUAUUAUGAUUGUUGCAGUCUGAUAGCUCUGGAUAGUAUGGUAGAAUGUCUGAUUCUAUUUGCAAUGAUAGACUUGUCUAGAUCUUGCGUAGACAUGUCUAGUUUAAUCUGCUGCUUGUUCAUCAUAUUCAUGAUUUAUUUCUGGAUUAAGUUAAAACUAAAAGUGCUUAUAUAUCCAACAUAAGGUACCAAGAACACGUGAAGCACCCGGGGGAGGCUGCUCCACUCCGCAUGCACAGGUGGGCACGGCACCACUACUCGUCUCCUUCAGGCUGAGGAUAAGUGAUGUACGCUGAUCAACAGACCACGACGGAACCAGCAAUAAUAGUUUCAGCCUGCCUCACAGUAAUUAAUAUAUCCUGUAUCCUCCGAGGACCCCUCCCCUUAAUCUUGGCCUAUUGCAUCCAAUAAUGAUAUGUGUGUUUAUCCAAAUUUACGGCACCUUUGGCGGGGGUUCCACCCAGCUCCGCCCUCUCCACCUUCGGUACUCCAUGGGAAACCAUUCCUUUGGAAUCAAGGAAGCUUGAACAGUAUAACGAAUAAAGUUUCAUAUAUCCAUUUGAUUUCACAUGAAAUAAAAUAUUCUGUCAGAACCAAUGGUUUCACUGAAGCUCCAGGCAGCGAGCGAAGGGGUGAGAGAGGAUAACGCUUACUGUGUGUUACCAUCGCGUGCACCAUGGAUGACCAACGCGCAGCCGAGAUGAAACGGCGGACCUAAACAGGUCCUCGCUAUUUUUGCAGGUUCUCGACCAGGCCAGUUCUUUAGGCCAACCUAUCAUUCACGAGUUAAACAUACGGUGGCUGGAGAAAUGUUCUAUUCUUUUAAACAAUACCAGCUGGUUCCUCCGUUUUUAUUCCACCAAUACAAGCACCACCUUGUAACAUUUCCUAUGUUUUUUUUCCUUUCGUCUGUUUUCUCACUACAUGCGUUGCUCUUUCAUGCAUUUUUUUCCAUUCCUGUAUUCCAAAUAGGUCUACAUGAACACAAAAUGAACUAGGGGACAGAAAAAGCCAGUGAAGUUAGUUUUGAGCUUCACCAGCUACUUGCUACAUAAAGUGUGCUAUAGUCGCAGAAAAGCUAAGCUGGAUCAGACGUGGCCGAAACAAUGCCAAAGAGCUAGGUCCCUAGCUGAUGGCAACACAUCAGAUGACUAGCCUGCUUUUCUGUAAUAAUGAUAUUGAGCAAUACACUGCAUGGCUAACCUGCUUUACAAUAAUUGUCAUUUUAUAAUAUUGGUCAUCACGAGAGAUGCACAUUGCAUACACCGGCCCAUCCCUAUAAAUAGCCAAGCCUUUCAGCCAUCUUGGGCACCUCCUCUCAGGGCCUCGUCUCACCAUCAGACAUCUCGUUCCCAGUUAUAAUUUGCGAGGUUAGAUCAGGCUGCGCCAUGGCGUCCGCAACUGCUGUCAAGAUCGUCGCCACCUUCAUGCUGGUGCUGACCAUGGGCCACCUGAUGGCCGAAGCAUCACCGCAGCCUCGGCGUGUGCUUGCAGAAACGGAGCAUGCUGCGGUGUCCGGGAAUCCUGGCCUCCCAGGUGAUGCUAGCGUCAUGCAGGUCCUCGAACCCGCCCUAGUUUCUCGGCUUGCCUGCAAACCAGAGUGCACAGUCCCUUGGCCUCCUUUUGUAUGUAUCUGCUAGAUCCUCUUCCUGGCUCAACGGAACUUCAGGGAAAUGGCUGUGACGUCGGCCAAAGAAUAAAUUGGAUGAACAUAAUAUACCCCGGGUAGUGUAGCUUGGGCUUUUGUUGAGCGUCUGGUGCUAGUUGUAUUUUGUUUGCUCAUGUGGCUUUGCUUCUGGUUGCAUAUUGGCUUUCCUAUCGCUCUCUGUUGCAGCUAUGGUUUCUGCCAGGUGUGUGUUAAUGCGGUUUGUAAGCGGUGCUUGUUCCUACCUUCUGUUUUCAAUAAAAGAAGUCGGAGUCUCCCUCCGACUCUUGUUAUCAGUCAACAAAAAUGAGUUGUAUCAUAUAUAUCUGCGUCUUUUUUCUACGUAUCUUUGGGCUGCUUCAGCUGGAAGUUUAUCGUAAGUACGUGUAUCAGGAUGAUCGUUUGAAUUAAAACGAAAUGAUAAUGUGUGGCUGCUAGAAAUGGAAUGAGCAUCUUACUAUAUUACUAAUUGGAAGCCUCCACGUGAAGCCACCUAGAAAUUCUAGGUGGACGUUUUAAAAAAAACAAAACUCAUAGAAGCCUCCACCACCUAGGAAUCCUAGGUGGACACUCUAAAAAGAGACAAAUCCUAGAAAUUCUAAAAAAAGAAAAAAAUAAUAACAAUAAGAUUUUUUUGCAGUCAAUUACAUAUAUUUUUUUGAGACACCGUGCUGCUAGCUCUUGCCAUUGCGACCAGUAAAGCAAGCAGAUAGUAAGAUGACAUGCGUGUGGAUUGAUUAAAACAAAUUCAGUUAGUUGAUUCUAAAUCGUAUGUAUCCUAAAAGGAAGAUAUGUGCGUGCAUGGUCCCUAGCGAUGACAUGUAGACAUGUAUUGCAAUUUCUUUUUUAAAAAACAUGUCUAUCUCUAAACCAACAAACAGAAAAAAUAUCAAUCUAAAUCUAAAUCUCUUCCGUUCUCACACGCCUAUUAAAGAGAAGACAACCAAUCCCAUCCAUGUUCCAUAGAAUCCAUCUAAAAGCUUGCUCACUGCGGACGGCAUUUGACGGCAAAUCAAUGAAAGAUCAUCCUCUCCAAAUAGCUGGACGGCAUCACCAUCUUUAUCUCACCAACCUACAGAGCUACAACGAUGUUGUAGAGAUCAACUAGGUAACCUACCAAUCACCCUCCCCUUUUCUAUAUGCUCUAAAGAACACGUGGAGUAAUUAUAGGCCUAUAGGAGCCGACUAACCUAGAUUAAUAUGAAAAAUAUUCCAAUAUUAAAAGCAAGCAGAUAGUAAUACUUGCCUUUGACCAUUUUUCUAGAACUGUUAUUCCUAUUGAAUGUUCAAGUGCUACGGCCAGGCAUCGAAUGCCUGCACGGAACCUUCCUAUUGAAUGGUUACUCUAGAGAUCAACGCACCGCGAGACAUUUUUAUGGAAUUUGUUUGAUUCCCCUUCUACAAUUAGAUUAAUUUUUCAUGGCAUAUAUUACUACUAUUAAAUUAUUUGUUUAUUGUCGGGCCUGCUGCAUGUGUGGUAUAUAUGACUUGCUUCUCACCAUUGUUCUCAAACUAUUAUUCCUAUCGAAUCUUUCUAUCGAAAUAUAUUUUAAUUACUUGAUUGUUGUUUGUGUACCAUAACUUCUGUAUAGAAAAAUUCCAUGUUUGUAGAUAAUGUCUUUUGUAUAGAAAAAUAGCCCAAUUAGAUCCAUCACCAUCUUUUGCUUAUGUAGUUGAACAAGUUGCAAUGUUGAACAAAACUUUAAGUGAAAUUAGACCAGGAAAAGGAAUUGUGGAACAUUAAGGCAAGGGUAACCAGAUUGUGGAAUGCAACCUUACUCAGUAGUGGCGAACAAUUAAGUCUUGACAUGAUCCUUAUUGAUCAAAAGGUAUGAUAGAUGUUCACUUUGAUUGCAUUAUUGGUAUAAUUUUUGGUUUACAAAUUAUUAAUGAUGAUGCAAAAUUAGGGAACCAUGAUCCACGGUGUUAUCAAUAAGCCCUAUAUGAAAAAGUUCAAACCAUUGAUUGAAGAAGGCAAUGUGUACAUAAUUGCAAAUGUCAGAAUCACACCAGAACCACAGAAGUAUCGGCCAGUGGAAAAUGACAGGAUAGUCAACUUCUUACCCACAACUGCACUAAAAACGAUCAAAGAUACUGAAGACAUUCCAAAGUAUAGUUUUAACUUCAUGAGCACGGAUAUGCUUUCAGCAAGAAUAAAUGUGGACAUGUACCUAUUAGGUAAAACAUUACUGGCUUUUCAAUUUUUACACUUCCACUCAUUAAAUGACCAUCUAAUAAUAAUACAUAUUUAUGUUUCAUAGAUGUUAUAGGUAUCUCAGCUCACAUUGGACCGAUAGAAGAAACAAGGACAAACUUCGGAUUUACUAAAAUCCGUGAUAUUGUGCUCCUGAUCGAGUAAUUCUCUUUUCUUUUGUAGAAAACAACUACAAAACUUUCAACAUUUACAUGUAUGUUAUAGAACUUCUGUUGAACUAAAAAAUAUCUUCUACAGUGCCCCUACAAAUAAUUAAUUUCGUAGUUGGAUAUUUAAAAUAUUUAUUAUUCACUUUUAAAUUUGUGGCCAUGAAGUUAAAGUUAGAUUUUGGGGAGACAAAGUUGAGGAAGUUGAUGAUAAGACAAAAUCCCAUGUCAUUGCAAUAACAUCUACAACUGUGAGUAAAUUUGGCAGUAAGUCUUCAUUCAAUAUGAGUUAUUCAAUAUUAGUCAUUCAACAAACUAACCUCGUAAGAAAAAUAAAUAAUUGAUGUUUUAUCAGGGUAUUCUCUAUCGUCAACCAAUGCAACAAAACUUUAUGUAGAUCUACCUAUUCCUGAAACUAAGGAUGCACAUGAUAGGUGAGAAAAAUUAGAUAUUGUUUUUCUAUUUUAAUCUAUGUAGCAUGCACUCUAACAUGAUACAUUCUUUCAUAUGAUAAAAAAAUGUUAGUUCAAUUGAAAAUAUUGUCAAAGAGAUUCAUAUUGAGGACCAUCUAAAAGGGACAUUGGAAGACCAAAUGCAGUACAAUAGAAGAACUUUAGAAGAAUUAAAUUUCAUAUUAUUUGAAACAUCAAAUCAGGUAUGGAUUAGUAUGUUCAUUGUACACUAUACUAUUUAAAGACUUACAUACAUAAUGAUGGUAUUGUUCCUACUUUCAGGAUGAGGUAUUUACUAUUGAAGCAACAAUAAAUGAAAUUAAUGCAACAUAUGGUUGGUUGUCACACCCGAUUUUAAGGACAAAAUUGAGUGCAUUAAAUACAUGUGCACCAGGAUCAAGUUACACACAUCCUAUGAGUACCGUCCUUCUUUGGCACAAAGAUAACCGGUGCUCCCCAUGGUGAUGAACUAGGCCGAAUAAACUAUUUUGCUGAUAAUUCCUCUAGUUGUUGUUUCAAUUCUUUUAAUUGUUCAACCAACAUUCUAUAAGGACGUUUGGAGAUAGGUGCAGUACCAGGUAAAAGAUCAAUAGCAAAUUCAAUGUCGCGGUCAGGUGGCAUACCUGGUAAAUCGUCGGGGAACACAUCCGGAUAGUCACACACCACUUUGAUAUCUUCCAAGGAUUUUCCAGCCAACUGAUUAACUGCACAAUCUGCUGCUGAGGGUAGAGUAGCUACAAACUCCACUUUCUCUCCAUCAGGACCUGUUAGCAGAACUGUCCUCUUGGCACACUGAAUCGUUGCAUCAAAAGCGGCUAACCACCUCAUCCCCAGAAUUACAUCGAUUCCACUGGACUCAAGGACGAUAAGAUCAGCCGGAAACUCUAUACCCAUUAUUCUCAGUUUAACUUGUGGACAGAUGUAUUGAGCCUUCAUUGACCCCCCAGGUGAACUCACUAGCAUAUGACGCCUCAUGGUAUGCAUGGGUAAAUUAUGCUUUGCUACAUAAUGACUAGUGACAAAAGAAUGCGAUGCUCCAGAGUCAAAUAAAACUGAUGCGGGGGCAGAGUUGACAAAGAACAUACCAAGCACUACAUCUGGAGCCUCCUUAGCAGUCUCGGCUUCCAUGUGGUUCACCUUGCCACAAACAAAGCUUUGCUGCCCCUGAUUGCCUUGUGGGGUCUGGUUCCCAUUCCUCGGUUGCUGCAUCUGAUUCUGCCGAGGAGCACUGCUGUUCUGCACGGGGGUAGCUGGCCCACCUCUCUUAGGACAAGAGCUGGCAUAGUGACCAACCUCGCCACACUUGAAGCAGGUAGGACCCACUGGAGCAUUGGGCCUUGUUGGAGUGCCAGUAGGGGUCAUCUGGCGGUUCUGCGUAAAGCUUGGGCGCGGAGUCUGCAUAGUCUGCAUCCCUGGAUGCUGGAACUGAGGGCUAGGGCGCUGGAAUGACUGCUGAGCAGGGCGCGGAAAUGAGUGCUGCCAAAAAUUCCCACUCGGGCCCCCUGCGCGGAACGGCGUCCCUUGCUGUGGAGCAAAGCGAGGGCGGGUGUUGCUUCCUGAAGACUACUGGGAAUUGAAUUUCCUCUUCAUCUCCCCGAGCUCGUUCCUCUUGUGUUCCAGGCCAAUUGCCUUGUCUAGCAUCUUCUGGAAACUGGGGAAGGUGUGCGACAUAAGCUGAUAUUGGAGUGGUCCAAUCAACCCAUCCAAGAAUAGCUCCUGCUUCUGCUCAUCAUCAGCAACAUCUUCGGGAGCAUAUCGGGACAACUGGACAAACUUGUCCCUGUACUCUGCCACUGUCAUGUUCCCCUGCUUGAGAGCAAGGAACUCCUUCUUCUUAAGCUUCAUCAAUCCGGAAGGAAUAUGAUGACUUCUGAAGCUAGUCCUGAAUUCAUCCCAGGUGAUGCCAUUAGCAUUGGCAUGGGUGGUGGUGUAAGCAUCCCACCAAUCAGCAGCUGGCCCUUCCAGGCGUCCUGAAGCAUACAGGACCUUCUCCCUGUCAGUACAUUGGGCGAUAUCCAGCAUCUUCUCCACUGUUUUCAGCCAAUCAUCAGCAUCUAAUGGAUCCGGAGAAUGUGAAAACGUCGGGGGCUUGUGGCUCAUGAACUCCCUAUGCCUGUCCCUUGGCGGCGGCUGCUGCUGGUUGUUGUUGUUGUUAUUGUUCAGCUGAGCUUGUAAAGCUGCCACGGUGUUGGUCAGUCCGGCGAGAAGCUGAGUCUGAGCUGCUAGAAACUGCUCCAUCCCUGCAGGUGCUUGUUGGUUCUGUUGCGGAGCGGUGUUGGGAUUGCUGCUGUUGUCCCUGUGGCGUGGCACUGUGGGACGGUCAACUCCUGAUCCGGACCUGGUGUUUACCAUCUGAGCGUUAGAGACAAUGGAUUUAGAUAGAUGUGUGAAAGAAUAACUGAGAAAGAUAAAGCGACCAGAUGUAAAAGUAACACAGAUUCUGUUAGCUCCAUUUAAUUAGGUGUGGUCGUCAGAAGAAGUGUCCAUAAAUUCUGAACAAUUACCAAGUCGUAACUUAUUAAAUUUGUAAACCAACCCAACUGGAAUCAUCUCAAUCGGACUUCUGGAUCUCGAGUUACAAAAUUAACAAGCUGACAGUGUCGGUCGAUAGGUUCAGAUUCUGAGUGCUUUACUAAUUCGCAUACACCUCCCAGACAGAUACACCAAAAAUUCUGAAAAAUUUACAGAUAGUACUCCACGAAAUUCUGAAACUAACCCCACUGGUUUCAUGUCAUUUGGACUUCUGUAGCUAGAGAUAUAAAUAAAAAAGUACUGGCGUGUCAGUUAAUGUCGAGAACAGAAUUGAAUGUCGCUUAGCUUGCGUGAUGGAUAGAUUUAGACAGAUGGUAGAUCAUGAUUAAGGAAGAUUAAAUACUGAUUUAGAACAGAAAUAAAACCCAACUAAGCACUUUAUUUAUUAAGACCAGUAUCGUGUGGCAAUUGCCCCACAUACCGCACUCAUUACAAAAUCCAACUCAAACAUGUAGCACAAAACCAAUCAUCUAAGCACACUUUAACUAACACACUCGAACGACGUCUAACGAUUACAAGAAUUUAAACUAAAACACUCCUAAUUUCCUAGAGGUCUUCUGCGGCGGUGCCGGGCGAGUCGUAGCGGGGACGCUUAGGCGACGGCGACGAAGCGGGAUGAACAGCAAACUCCUGCGGCGGCGGUGCUCCCGUCGCGGCAGCCAUAUUCGCAUCCCUCUCCCACCGGAGUUCCUGAACCUCCUGUUGAAGCUCCUGGAUGUGGUUGUUUGCUUCAUUCAAUGCGGUGAGAGCUGCCGACGUGUACUUGCGGAGGAAGUCUGUAGCCAUGUCAACCCCAUCGUUAGUAGCGAUGAAGGUUCUUGCUUCCCCACUAGCUCGGUAAGGAAGGAACCGAUGGUAAGUGUGCUGCAAUCGCGGCCGUUCCUUGUGGGAGACGACCUCAAGUGCCCUCCUGGCGGCCUCGGCAAUGCCGGAUUCCAUGGUCCUCCUUAUGGUCACAUCAUGGUGAAAAGCCUUCACCUCCCAUCCUCCCUCGUGCUCCUCACGAAGGACAACCUUCACCUCCCAAAAAGUGGGAUAGCGAGGGUGGGUGAACCGGGAGCACUUGUAGAGUGGCCUCAUGCCGUACCCCAAGCGGUGACAAGUCCACCUGAGUAUGUCGGCCAUGUGCACUCCUUGGCCAUAAUCUUCCUUCACCCAUUUGAUCCAUGUCUCGGGCUCGGGAUCUGCUUCGGGCUCAUCAUCCGUCAAGUCGACGACCGGUACGGGCGUCGGGGCUGGUGCAGGAGCGGGCGCCGGUGCUGGCGACGGUGCUGGUGACGGCGUGGUCUCCUGCUCCACGGUCACGGCGUCCCCGUCAGAGUCAUCCCCCGGAUGCUGGAAGAUCUCUUCCUCUUCUUCCUCGUCCCAAGGCUCCAUGGGGGCGUACGACGGCGCGAUGCCAUGACGCGGCGGACGGGUGCUCUUGCGUGCGGUCAACCGGGUGCGAGCCAUCUAACAGAAAGAAAGAAGAAAAUUUUAGAAUAAAAUUUUGAACAAAGCUAGAUAAUAAAAUAGCAAUAAGGAUGAGACAAAUCAAGUUUAAGAAUAAUUAAGUAGAUUUAAAUUAAGAAAGGUAGGAAUGGCUACUAGAUUAUUAUAAUCCUUAAAUACGACCAUUUUCUAACUAGGCUAACGUCCUACAGUCAACACGGCUCUGGUACCACUUUUGUCACACCCGAUUUUAAGGACAAAAUCGAGUGCAUUAAAUACAUGUGCGCCAGGAUCAAGUUACACACAUGUACGACAAUAGUGAAUAGUAAAGCCAGUGCUAAAUCGAAUAAAGAGAGUAUUAACCAUUAUUACAUGACCGAAUGUCUCAAAUAAACCACAAAGUCUAAUUAUUACGCAGCGGAACUCCAAAGAUGACGACGACUCCAUAGGCAGCUGACUGAAGAAACGUACGCCUAGAACUCCUCGAAGUCGUGGAAGUACUCCUCUUCCCAAUUAACUUGGUCUGAACAGCGGUUUUGCAAGGGUGAGUACACUUAUGGUUGGUACUCAACAAGUCGUGGGAAGUAGUGUAGUGUAAGGCUAAUUCAAGGUAUGGCUAAGGCGUAAAUAGCAUUCGCUUUUAAUUAAGUUGGUCAAAUUUUAUUAGCAUUUACUAAGUAUAAGUUCAUACCACCCGAAAUUAAACAUGAACAUAAAGUAAACCACAUGUGCAUGAAAUGAUAACAAAUUAAAUCCAUCUUCCGAUAAUAUUAUCAUGUGAGGGUCCAGGCCGCUCUUAACCGUGAGCACGGCUGAUUGAUCAGUUUAACACUCUGCAGAGGUGGCACAUCUUUACCCACAAGUCGCGUAAAAGUUCAAAAGAACUUUGGACCCAACCAUGCGGUGUUUGCAAGGCACCAUACCACACUUCCGAGGUGUGAUUGCAUAGGGACGCUACGAGGCCUUUACAAAGAUUCAUUAAUCAGUGGUAACCCGCUAAGGUUUCGGUGUCUGGCGUGCACCACCCAUCCCAGGUAAAAUGCAACGACUCAGUCCCCCCCCUUGAAUCAUCACGAGUAAGGUCACCCCAGACUAAGGUUUCUAAUUAAUCAGCCAAGACCAGAGCUAUUUAGUCUUGUGGUAGCACUGUUUUCCUGGGUGGUCGCUCCAUGUUCUGAUUAACAAAUAAUGAUCUUGUCUUAAUGAAAGGUAUAACAGAAAUAAGGCAAGAUUAAGCAUUGUUUUUAGUUAAACCACCAUGUACCAAGUAAGCACUAAGCAUGAGCUACCCAACAUAAAGUAAACCGGUUGGUCAAGGCAAAGGUAAAACAAUCUAGGCCAACCUUAAUUGGGACCCAUCAAUUUAAUCUUAAUAUGUGCACAGCAUAAAUGUUGAGUACGAGAAAGUAAAGGUGUAUAGGACAAAAAGGUAGUGAUCAAGGACACGACUUGCCUUCUUGGCCUUGCUCCUGCUGUUCGUACUCCUCGAAGGCUUGAUCGGCAACUCCCUCGAACUGCGGGGCGUCUACACGCAUCACACGAGCACAUACAAGCAAACAUGGGCAAAAGUAAGAAAACAGUAUACCAAACAUAGUCAAACAGAGAAAACAAGCUUGAAAAGAUGAUCUACGCUUUAAAACGAACACGCGGAUAUAAAGAACGCGAAAAACGGAGUUAAGAUGCAAAAGAUAUGAUUAAAACAAAAUCCAGGGACUUUUCUGUAAGAAAAACAAAACUUUUAGGGCCUAUCCGCGAAAACCGAGGGCUUAUACGUAAUUAUGCGUAUAAACCGAGGGUCUGAUGCGUAAAAACAUCAAACCCGGACGGCGGGUUGAUUUCUGGAAAGGUCAAGGGUUAAACCGAAAAAUGCGAGGGCAGAUCUGUAAAUACUUUCAACGCGAUCUGGACCGCGGGUUGAUUUGCGAAAAAGGCGGGGGCUAAAGUGCAAAAACUGCACGGCGCGGCUCGGUUGACCGGUACGCGAUCUUGAUUGACUCGCGUCCGGCCGUCGGAUUAAGAUCCGACGGUCGCGGUGAUCCGCGACAUCGCGGCGGCGGCGGCGAGCGGCGGCGAGCGGCGGCAAGCGGCGGCGGGUCGCCGGAGUUAGGCAAAAUAGCGCCACGAGGCACGGUUUAACGCGCGGGUUGCACCAAAAAAGAGAGGGGAACACGUCGAUCCCGUUUUGGGGGUUCUUGUCGACGGGGGCUCACCGGCGACGGCGAACGGCGGCGAGGAAGAGGCGGCGGCGCUAGGAGCUCGGGCGGCUAGGGUUUCGGGGAGCUGCGGCGCUGGUUUUGGGCGGAGGAGACUGGGAGGAGGCGGCGGCUUUUAUAGGGCUUGGAGAUAGAGCCGGCGCGGGUUCAAAUCCCCCGGAGGAGUCGGAGCGGAUGGAGUCCGGGGCGGAGACGGCGCGCGGCGGUUGCGGAGUUCUGACCGGAUUCGGCCGGAGGUGGGAGACGAUGGGUGGGGUCCACCCGUCAGUGGCGGAGGGGAGCGGUAGACGGGCCGGCGCGACCGUGGGCUGGCGCGCGCUCGUGGGCUGCGGGGAGCGGGAGAGAAGCGGCGAGCGGGCGCUGGCGGAGCAGGCCGAGCGGAGGUAGAGCUGGGCCGCGGAGAAAAAGGAGGAGGCCGGCGGGCUGCUUCGCAGGCCGGUAAGGAUGAGGCGGCCGGGCCGAAGAAGAAAAAGAAAAGGAGGGACAAGGAGCUUUCGGCCGAGGGAAAAGAAGAAGAAAAAGAAAAGGAAGAAGAAAAGGGAAAAGGUUUUGGAAUUUGAAUUUAAAUCUGAAAUUCAAAAUUUGAUUCAAACUCAAGCAACCAAAAAUUAUGCUCCAGCAUGAAUGCACAAAUAAUUCCUAUGAUGAAUUAAUUGAAUUAAAGAAAAUGAAUUUAAAUGCCUAGAAAUUAAAUAACACCCUAAUUUGAGCAAAUUUUAAUGAAUUUGAAUUAUUGAAAUUUUGGGUGUUACAUUGGUACUACAUCUCAUGUAGUAGAGGCGAUUGUAAGAAGCAACUUGAAAAGAAGUUUGAUCACUACUAUUGCAAUAAAUGUGACAAGAGAGCCGAACCUAAAGCCCAGUAAAUUAUUUAGUAGUUUACAAUCUUAUUAUAAUACUUCUAUUUCUAAUAGGAGAAUAAUAUUUUCAGAUUCAAAUUAAGCUUCAAAUAAGUGAUCCAACAACAAGUGCAACUUGUGUACUUUUGACAAGGAAGCAGAAAUGAUAAUUAAUGAAUGAGCAGAUUCGAUGAUCACCUCAGUUGAUCAUGAUAAUAAGUAGCUACCAAAAUCAAUUCAGGAAAUAUGUGAAGAAACAUUGAUUUCUCAAUUCAGAUUGACCGAGUACAACUUGACAAGUUUUAGACCUGAUUAUACUGUUUCAAAGAUAUUUUUUCCAAAAGAAAAGGGCAGUUCAAGAAUUGGUAUGGAAAGUGUAAAAAAGGUAACACUUUAUUAUUAAUUUUUUAUUGCACUUUUUUCUUUUGAAUCCGUAAUACUUAAUAAUUUUACUAUAUCAAUGAAACAAAUUCUAACCUAAAUUUAUUUUCUUUUUUAUUAUUUGUAGGAAGUAGAAGACAACUCAGACAAAUGCUACACGAUAACUACCGAGAAUGAAGAGGUAGACACUGAUGACUCUUUUACCGAGAAAGUAACAUUCGUAGAAGAAGCCAUAAGGACUGGGGAAAGAUUGGCUAGAAAAGUAUACUCACUUCCAUGUCAGUGUUCAUUCUAUUUACAAUACAUGCAAAAAAAAUAUUAUUCAUGCAAAAUUGCAGGUCUACUAAGCAUUAAAGGAAUAGCGGAUAGUGCAAUAUGUAAUCUGAGCAGCAUGCAUUACAAAGUGCUCUACUGCAAUUAAAUUAAAAAACAUGAUAUAUGUUGAAUUCUUAGACUUUAUUAUUAUACUUUUCUACGUGACAAUUCACAAUUUUUUAGAAAAAAGAAGAUCCCAGAAGAAGUGACCAUGAAAAAAGGUCUAUGACCAGCAAUAAGAAAAAAUGCAAGCAUAGAAACAAAUCCGUAGAAAACAUAGAAAAUAAGGUACUCCAUAAACAAAAGUAUUCUCUUAUAUUUUUAUUAAAUAUUUUUUUAACACUUGACAAGUUCUUUUUUAGGAUCAAUAUAUCAGCAAUUCAGAUGUCAUUGGAGAUGAAACCUUAGUUCAUCCAAAAGGUCAAAAAAAAACAUCUGAAGAAAGGUGUUUGGCUGAAAAGGAAAAGCAAAAAAGUGGUAAUGCAGACAAACACAUGCAGAAAAAUAUAAAAACAUGUCAUAGGGAGGCAGACCAAUCUUGCAAGGAGGUAUAGACGAAACGUGAUACACGACCUGCCUACCUUGUCGUGGAUACCCCAAGAAGAUGUCAUAGAGGUGCAGACCAAGCUAGCAAGGAGGUCGAAACGUGAUACACGGCCUGCCUACCUUGCCGUGGAUAUUAGCCCUGAGAUCAUUCUACUGUUCAAGGAAUAACACUCAAUGCUGCUGCUGCUGCUGACCUGGCUCCAUAAAGUUAUACUCCUCUAGGUGCUUGCACUAACUUUAUCUGAAGUAUUAUUCUCUCUGCACUGUAUAUAUGGUUAUGGAGUUUGCUGGAGUAUCCGGGGCGAAGAACCUACAUAAUACGUCUUGGAACUAAUUGACAUUGAUUCACAGACAAACUCUACAAGGUGCUGUUCUUGCCAUUUUAGAGCAUCCAAAGGACUAUAAAUAACAUAGUUUACCAUAUACCAUAUACCAUAUACCAUAAUAUGUUAGCUAAAAUAAGAGCAUACACAUGUUGCAGGAGUCCAAAAGCACCGGUUGAGGACCAGGUACAUUGAAUUACUAGAAAAAGACAGGGGACAAGGUUUAGGUAACCACAUGAAACAUUUGAAUUUAUUGUACUAUGAACACUUAGUUACCAUGCCAGGAGCACAUAGUUAACACUAACAUUUAGCCACUUUAGAUCAUCCCGAAUCACCAAUGACCCUCAAUAGUGACAAAUUUUGGUUUAAAUGCCAUCACCAAUGAUCCUCAAUAGUGACGUAUUUAGGUUUAAAUCCCGUCACUAAUAACCCUCAAUAGUGACCUGUUUUGGUUUAAAUCUCAUUACCACUGAUCCUCAAUAGUGAUGUGUUUUAGCAAAACAUGUUAUCAAUGACUUGUCAUUGGUGACGUGUUAAAACGCGUUAUCUCAAUGGCAAAUCAUUGGUGACGUGUUAUCUCAAUGUUAUCAAUGUUCUAUUCUUUUCAACAAUACCAGCUCGUUCCUCCGUUUUUAUUCCACCAAUACAAGCACCACCUUGUAACAUUUCCUAUGUUUUUUUUCCUUUUGUCUGUUUUCUCACUACAUGCGUUGCUCUUUCAUGCAUUUUUUUCCAUUCCUGUAUUCCAAAUAGGUCUACAUGAACACAAAAUGAACUAGGGGACAGAAAAAGCCAGUGAAGCCAAUUUUGAGCUUCACCAGCUACUUGCUACAUAAAGUGUGCUAUAGUGACGUGUUUUAGCAAAACAUGUUAUCAAUGACUUGUCAUUGGUGACGUGUUAAAACGCGUUAUCUCACUGGCAAAUCAUUGGUGACGUGUUUUAAAAAAACAUGUCACCGUGAGAGUCAUUGGUGAAGGGUAAUUAAAAUGCGUCACUAAUGUUGUAGCAUUAGUUAUGAUAAUUUAGUAACGCAAAAAUCUACCAUCAGUAUUGAGCUUUAGAGCCAUCGCUAAUGUGGGUUUCUUACAUAGUGAUGCAAGCUCUACAAGGUGCUGUUGCUGCCAUUUUAAAGCAUCCCAUGACUACAUGUUAAUAACAUAGUUUACCAUAUAUCAUAAAAAUAUUAGUUACAAUAAGCACAUACGCAUGUGGAAGAGUCCGAAUGCACCGGUUGAGGACUAAACACAUUGAAUUACUAGAACCAAAUGUAUGUUUAGAACAAAGACAGGGGUCAAGGUUUGGGUAACCGCAUUAAAAACAUUGGAUUUUACUGUACAUGAACACUUAGUUACCAUUACCAUGCCUUGAGCACCUAGUUACAACAAACAUUAAUUUAGCCACUUUAGAGCUUCCAGAAUCGCUAUAAAUAAUAUACCUACGCCGUACCAUGAAAACAUCAAGAAGAGAGACGGAUACAUGGACCACCAUCAAGCGAGUAGUGACAGCACGCACAAGAAUACCCGGAACCUGUUAGCUUGUCUGUAGUGAUCUGUUUUCUUCCCCAUAAAAUCCAUGAGUAUUGCCACAAAUAAUGAAAGAGGCUGACCAAGCUAGCAAGGAGGUAGAGCAAACGUGAUACACGGCCUGCCAAGAUUGCCCUGGAUACGCCAAUAAGAGCGACAGAUACAUGGAUCACACCAAUAUGGUGAAACGUAUAUUCAUCACACAAGCAAAGCUGGUCAGUUUAUCCAUGGUCAAAUUGUGGUCUUUGUUUUCACUUGAGAGCUAAUUGAGGCACUAUAAUAUGGGCAGGCCUAUCUUCAACAGACAUGACAGCUACAGGGAACUUGACAUAAUUUGCUGGGCCGCCUGUGCACAAUUAUUUGUUUUAUUGUCCUUGCAUAGAAUGCUAAAAUACUCUUUACAAAAUGUUGGAUCUAAUAUUUGAAAUAUAGAGUAGUAAUCAUAUAUUGAUCAACAACUUGAAAUUAUCUGUACAUUCUCGGUGAAGCUGUUGAACUAAUUUUUGCAAAUUAUUAAUUCAUCUCAUUACGUAAAGAAAAAAGUAAGUGGAUAAGAUAUUUCGUGGACCACAUCACUGCAAACAUGUCAUGGAGAGACAGACCAAGGAGGCAGGACGUGAUACACGACUUACCCUAGGUUGCCGUGGAACCGCCAAGAAGAGAUACAGAUACAUGGACCACACCAUCUUGGGAGUAGUGACAGCAUAUAUGCAGAAGAAUACCCCGUGCCUAUUUGCAUGCAUGUCUCAAGUGAUCUGUUUUCUUCAGAAAAUACAUGAGCAUUGCCAGAAAGAAUGGCAAGAGACAAACAUGUCAUAGAGACUUGCAUGUCUUGCCUUGGAUACGCCAAGAAGAGGGACACAUACAUGGAUAACACAAAUCUAGUGACACGUAUAUUCAUCACAAAGGCAAAUCUGAUAAUUUUAUCCAUGGAGCAGACCAAGGAGAAAUUGAUGACGGACAUGUGAUCUCUGUAUUCAGUUGAAAGCUAAUUGAGCUACACUAAUAUGAGCAGGACUAUAUUCAAGAGACUUGUUGAGAGCUACAGGGAACUUGUAAUAAUUUGCUGGGCGGCCUGCGCACAAUGAUUUGUUAUACAUAGUUGAAAUAUUUCAAGAAUUUAUCAACCUCAUACUCUGAAACCCUUGGUGCAAUGUACUCUGCUUUCCGAGGUAGACUGUUCACGUAAAAUGAGGUCAUGCGUAAGACGGAAUCGGAUUGGAUUCACAGGGAAUCAGAUUUGGAUAGCACCUUUUAGCAGGUUUUUAGUCAAAUGCAAAUUCGGAUCCACAUGUGGUUGAAUGCGAGUUCAAAAUUCUACUUGGAUAUCCAUUUAAUUUAGGUGAUAGCAAUUAGCACAAAAUGUUGGAUGAACAAAAUCAUAGUUAGACAUACAAUUACAUGUAUGGUUAAAGUAUAAUACAAUACACCAAGAUUAUUCCUUGAAAAUAUUUCUUAAAAAUAUUAUAAUAAAUGAAUAAAUAUAAUUGUGGCCACCAACAAAUAGUCGGUGGUCGCUAAGUUGGAGCCAUUUCUGGUUACUAAUGCGGCCUUCUCCUCGACCAGCGACGACAGCUGAGCUUGUUCCUUCUGACACUAAAUCAUCAGAGUCUUCCCUCCACUACUAUAGAAUGCACCUUUAGCACCAAUUGGGAAAUCCCCUUCAGUAUUGGAUGCUGCAACCAGUGCUAUAUAUCAAAAUGGAGACUAAAAGCCUCGGUCUUGGGUACCGGUUGCAUAACGCAUUACUAAAGGAGGCAAAAGAGAAAUGUAACAAAAAAAAUAUUUUGAAUUCCAAGAAUGUUUCACUAUUCAAGAUGACUAGCUGAGAGUCAACAGACAAGAUACUAGGAAUGUGGGUGCUUGAAUGCAUUUGUACAGAGGUCAUACUAUUUACAAACUCUUCUAUGUUUCCAUAUGACUACCUACUUCAAUGUCACGCGAGCCAUUCAGCUGGACACAUGGCACACUAGCUUGCAUGUCGAAUCCAUGAUUAAUUAUUUGCACUUGUGAUCUCUUACCAGUAUUUGUCCAGACUAGAAACGUGCAACACAUUUUUAGGAUAUGGACACGCAUAUAUUUGGACUAGUAUACAGGUCACCUUUGGAUGCGUACAAGGAUGACCGGGAGGGACUAAUGGAUACAAGGAAGGGACCAUCAGGAUUAAUAUUGACAUAUGCCACAUGACAAUCUUCAUUGUCAUGCAAUCCCUAUCAACAAUCAUGGAAUCCCUAGUGUACUAAUCCCUGGAGGGUUGUGUGGAAAUUUAUUUUACCUUGCGGUGAAAAUCUCAUGAGCAGUCAUUAGUUAAGCUGACUAGCUGAGAUAUAAUAGACAAGCUAGUAAGAUUGGGAGCAUCAAUGCAUCCAUACAGGGUCACAAUAUCCUUUCCAUUCACUUUUAUAUAUAACCCUACGAAUACAAGUCCAACGAAAUGCGGGCCUUUCGAUCAAGAUAAAUUAAAUGGCCCACUUGUAUUUCUAAUCCAGGAUUAACUAUGCCCUCUGUUCAUCUCUUGCAAGCACGUGCAACACAUUUUCACGAUAUGGACAUGCAUGGAGGUUAUUAUACUGUUUGGACAAACUCUGAUGUGCCAUGACCUAAAUGCUUAGGGCCUGUUUGGUUUGAGUUGCUUAUUAUAAGCAACUUAAAGUUGCUUAAAGUUGCUUAUUUGAAGUUGCUUAUUUUUAGUCUAAACUGUUUGGAUACCCUUGCUUAUGAGCAUUGAAUGAGUUGGACAUUGUCAAAUUUGCCCCAUGUGUUGCUACCCCUCCAAUUUGCCUCCCCACCCUUCUUCUUCCUGCACACGUCCGAUCCCGGGGGCCGACGGCGGGCAGGGAGCAGCAGCAGCUGGCCAGGGCGGCGGUGGGGCGGGAGCGGCGGCGCACACCAGCACGCGCUCGCACGCCAGGUGCUAGGGCGCGGCGAGGCAGUCGUCGUAGCCCACCGGGAGCGGGUGCUCGGGCGCGAGGCGGUACUCGACGGAGAUGCCGAGCGUCGGGCGCGCGGCGGCGAGCGCGUUGAGGAAGCGAUGGUAGUGCGGCGACGUCGCGGACUCCGCCACGAAGCCGCCGCCGUGGACGUACACCACCACGGGCAGCUUCGUCUUGCCGUCGGCGGCCGCGGCCGCGGCCUGGGGUGGCAGGUAGAGGCGGACGGAGCAGGAGCCGAGGUCGACGUCCCUGGAGUCGACGCCCGUGGCGGCGUCCAGGCUGGGCCCGACCGGCGGCGGCACGAGCGGGCGCUCGAUGCGGCCGCUCUUGUAAAUCCGACGGGUCUGUGCGGAGGCGGGCGGCGGGCGGGAGCGGCGGGUGGGAGCGGCGGCAGGUGGUGCGGAGGCCGGCGGCGGCGGGUGGCGCGGAGGAAGGGGAGCUGGUGAGUGGUGACAGGGGAGGGGGGGAGAGAGAGGGGGGGUAGGGUGCAUUGAAUGAGGGCAGGAGGUGUAAAGUGCACCUUUUAGUCCCCAUGAGCAACCAUAAGCAGCCCAAGAGUUGCUUAUUUGCUUAUAAUAAGCAACCUCAUAAGCAAGAGUGAUUGGUUUCAUAAGCAACUUAUUUGCUUAUUUUAAGUUGCUUAUGCAUAAGCAUGUGAAACCAAGCAGGUCCUUAACCUAUGGUUGUGGCACCACACAGUACAUAGUAUUUAAUAAUGCUAUUCGUUUGGUAUGUGCACAAGGGCACGCAUGAAAUGUCUGGCCCACGGUAAACAAGUACGGACGCUGCAAAUAAUCUACUCUGCUCGUCCAGUCCCUAGCCUAUAAAUAGAUGCCAUGCUAGCUCUUGUUGUGCUCACAAUUAAUCCUGACUACACACGAGCUUCUCUCCCUGGCCAAGACACAAUCAUAGUAUGAUGAAGAACAUGGCACUAGCCGGCAAUGGUAUGAAGAACUUAAUCCUCGCUGUUCUCUUACUGUGUCUAGUUAUAGGGCAGAUACAAGUGGAAGCUAAGAGCUGCUGCCCAUCCAUUACUGCAAGAAAUAUCUACAAUGCCUGCCGUAUCACGGGUACAUCCCGUCCAACGUGUGCAAAACUGUCAGGCUGCAAAAUUAUCAGCGGGGACAAAUGCAAGCCCCCUAACGACCACCUCACCCUUGACCCGGACACUGGUAAAUAAUAAAUUUAUCUCACUUGAUUUCUUCGUGUUUUGAGUCGUUAAUGUAUUUUCCAUCUGAUGAAACGUAUUGGUUUUGCAUUGAAGAGGAAGUUAAUGUGCUUAACUUCUGCAAGUUGGGGUGUGCGUCGUCUGUGUGCAACAACAUCAACGCUGGUAAGCACCUUUUGCUCAGACGGAGAAAACAAUAAUCAUUAAUUAGCGGCAGCUAGAAUCCUAUAAUCUAAUAUAUUUAUAUAUAUAUAUAAUUUUAUCAGCUCUGGGAAAUGAAGAGGCGAACGAUGCCGUUGAGAGUUGCGACCAAGCCUGCUCUAGCUUCUGCAACGUGCACGUUGGCGCUGCCACCGUGGUUGCUUAAGCAAAUGCAUCCAACUGGAUCGUCCUUGUGCUAAAUAAUUGGAUAUCGUAUCCACUUAAAGCUGCCUUGUGUAGUACGUUUUUGUUUGUGUCUCUCUUUAUAUUCCAAUAAGGUCGGUGAUCUUGAUGCCACACACUCAGACGUGUGUUCAUCUCCAGAUACUACUCCAUGCUACCUGCCCUUUGUGUUUUGUUCAAUAACUGGGUAUCAUAUCCCAGCCAGUGUGCCAUCUGUUUUGUGUUUAUUUCCUUCUAGUUUCAAAGGGGUUAUCAUGAUGUUACCUUCUUUCGAUAUGGUGCUUUGCAUGACUACUGUUGUAUGGUACCAUCUUGUUGGCCAAUAAAUACAUCUUAUCCUAUGACC
rnacentral:lncRNA from 1 species